AAGUACCCAGUCACCUUCCUCGAUUGCUUUUGGUCUCAAUCGAUGUUGCUUAUCGAAUCGCGCCUUGUUUUGUAACCUUGCUCUUUUUAACCUUUCCAAUGCUAUUUGGACAUCUUUGGUUCUUUGCUCCAAUUGUCAAAUCCUAAUAGCCAGAAGUUCUUCUCUUGUCAAUCCAUCUUCCCAUGGUAGCAUACUCCAAGUAAGUACCUUUUCUUCAAUCGGCAUAAUUGGUUUUUGACCUGUCAUAAGUUCUACUGGCAUACAUCCUGUCACCGAACUAUGUGUUGUUUGAUCAGCCCAUAAUGCAAAUGACAAAAGCCGUGGCCACUCUUUAACCUUCCCAUUACAAGCUUUAACCAAUGCUUUCACAGUCGACGGGUGACCGCGUUCGCUUUUCGCAUUCCCUUCCGGAUUAUAAGCAGUAGUCAGUGAUAGUUUAACUCCACAUUUUUCAAAGAACUUACGAGCUUCUUGUGCAUUUAAUUCUCUACGAUCUGCAGUGAUUUCUCCUACGCACCCGAACGGCAAAUGACAUCUUCAAGCAAAAACCUACAAAUCCCCUCUGUAGAUUUUGUCCUCAAUGCUCUUCCUUCUACUUGAUUUGAUAAAUCUUCACGAGCUAAAACCAAAUAUCUCAUCUGCCAUAACCCAACCGGCAUAAUAACCAAAUCAACAACCCAUUUAAAAUGAAUAGCCAGAAGAUACGUAAGAUGAAGACCAUCUCGAUGUCGGAUAUUAGAAUACGAUUGACAGAUUUUACAUGACUCUACAAAUGAGAGCACAUCUCGAUACAUAUUUUUCCACCAAUAUCAUUCCUUGAGUUUAGAAAAAGUAGCCCAGAUUCCUCUAUGCCUUGCCCAUAAACUAUCAUGAAACUCCUUUAAUAAUUUUAGUCUUUCUUCCCUUUUGCCUAUCACUCGUUGUGGCAUCCCAAUUCCUUUCUUCGGUCUCUUCCAUAAGAAUCCAUCUCGAAGUAAAAAUCCAUAUGCUUUUUUUCUUAUUUGUUUGAAUUUUUCUGUAGACCAAUUCCCCUGCUUAGACAAGGUAUUCAAAUAAUGACCAAUAUCCAAUAAUUCUCUUUCAUAAGAUUCUUCAAGAAAUAGCUUGUCUUCUCUGUUGAGAUUUGAUAUUGAAUAGAAUUUCAAUCCGACAUCAUCAAUGUCUUCAACCAUUUCGUCUUCCCUCUCGUAUCUUGCUCGAGAUAGCAUGUUUGCUACUAAAUUGUCCUUUCCAGUGAUAUGUUUAAAUUUUGGAUUUAGUGACUUAAUAUAAGCAAUCAAUCUCAACAUUGCAAUAUCUGGCGUUGAACAGUUAAUAAUCAUUCCAAGCAAUGGCAAGCAAUCUGUUUCAAUUACUACUACUGCCCCAAUCAAAUAGUCCUUUCCAGCUUUCAUAGCCGAAACGACUCCCCAAAGUUCUCUUUUGACUUGCGAAUAUGCACGCUGACGAAUACUUAAAACUUUAGCCCCAAAUCGAACUGCAAAUCUACUCCCAUUCGAAUCAUCUUGACCCACCGCCCAUCCAACGGCAAUUGGACUAGCGUCUACAGUAAGAAUCACUGGUCUAUUGCACUUAUAAUCAACCUUCCUCAAUAUUGGAGGUGACAUCAAUAAUUUCUUCAAUCUUUGCAUUGCCUGAAUAUGCCUUUCUUUCCAUUCAAAUCGGUAACCCUUGCGUAACAGUUUAUAUAAUGGAUCCGCUAUGUGAGCAAAAUGAGGGAUCCAGAUUCGAUAAAAUACACAUGCACCCAAAAACCUGCGAACCUCUGUUAAAGAACCACAAUCCUCUUUCAUCCUUCCAAUUGCAUCAACUUUAGUCGGAUCUGGUUUUCUUCCGUAAGAUCCGCAUAAAUGUCCAACAAUUACAACCUCUCGCACUCCAAAUACGGACUUCAUACCCGAUAAUGUAAGAUGAACUUCUCCAAGCCGAGUUAAAAUCUUUUCACAAUCUUGUAUAUGAUCAACAACAUAUCUGCCACACCCCCUCGUAUCUAAAGUUUCAUCCUUGUCUCCUUCUCUGCACCCUUUUAUAGGAACAUCAUCCAGAAAAGGCAUAGUCUUUUCCGGAAUAAAAUCUCUCAAUACCUUAUUCAUCCCAUUCAUCAUAUGCGCAACCGAGUUGGUCGCACUUGAGGAAGAGUGCACAUUUUAACCAAUCCAAGCGGUGUCCUCAUCGUUGUCAUAUCUCUACUUCCUUCGGCAAGUUGAAAUUGAUCAUAACCUGAAUACAAAUCACCCAUUGAAUAGAUCGCCCUUCCAACAAACGCCUCAGCAAAUUCAUCCGCAAUAGGUCCAAUUUCUGCAUUUCUGACAUUUAUAGCAUUCACCGGCUGCAUAUCUUGAAUAAACCGUAGUGACCCAUUCUUCUUAGGUACCGUAAAUCAUCGACUAGAAUACGGCGCAAAUGAAGGUUCUAAUAUUUUCAUCUUUAUCUUUUCUUUCAAUAGUUCGACCAAUUUAGGUAAAUAUGCCCUAGGUACUGGAAUCAGUCUUAGAUUCCAAGGUACAUGCGGUACAGUGAAGAUAACCAUAGGUGUUAUAAUAUUUGGAUCUACACACCCAAUUUCAUGAGAUUCGAAGGCAAACGAUCUACCUUGUUUAGCCAACAUCUUUUUGAAGCAAGUAAUUUCCUCCGACAAUAAAGAACCAUCAGAACCAAUCUUCAAUUCUUCAAAAGUCUCUUCAGUAAACUGAUGUCCAAUACUCAUUGGAUCUCUUAAACUUGCUUCUUUUGAUGCUUCUCCCAUUUCUUCUUUAGAAUCCUCUGGUAAUGGUCCGGCAACAGGCUUUACCUUCUUAUCUGCCGUUUUAUAUCUCGUCUCUACUGUGACUUCUGGUGCUUGAAAAGAUUCAAGCAUGGUAUAAACCUCUCUCGAAUGAAUCUCAACAAUCUUAUCAUUAUCCCCUAACCCAAUAAAUGUAAUCAAUUCCAAUGAAUCUUCCAGCUCAUUUUCUUCAUAAACAUCCAAAAUCCUCUCAUCAUCUUGCAAUGUACCUAUCUUGCGUAACUGUCCUUCAAUAUCAUAUAAUCUUUUUCUUUCUUUUCUUUUAAAAUCAUCAACUUUCUUAUACAUAAUAUUUCCAUUCUCCAAUAUACCAAUAAAACUCGCAUCAAAGGCACCUUCAUCUCGCGAGAGUACCUCCUCUUUUGUACCUCCAUAAUCUCGCUUUACAGUGGUACCUCCCCAAAAUCCUUAAAUCCUUCAACAAUUUUUGGCAAUGGUUUCUCCCUCAACCUAUCUCGAUUCCGUUCAUGGUUAGGAGGUACUGUUAGAAAUUAUACAGCUUUCCUCCCAUCUUCGCUCCGUACCCUUGCAUAAGCAGAACCAUCGUCAAGUACCUUUGUUUCCAUCCGUGUUGCCGUGAUAUAAGGUUGUCCUAAAAUCAACGGAUAAGACGUUGUAUCUUGAACGAAGAAAUGUUGCUCCGUAGCAACAUCCCAAAUCUGAAUUUUGACAUCUGGACAAGCUCUAUAUAAUUCGCCUCGUGUGUUAUUAGCUGCUCGUAUUGCCCAUCCAUGUUCCAUAUCAAUUGGCCAUUUUUGCUUCUUAUAAAGAUCUUUAGACAUGAGAUUUAUUUCAGAACCAUGGUCCACCAAGGCAACUAUUGGUUCUUCUAUAUCUCCUACCUUCACCAAUACCUCAGUAGUUGCCAUUGCCCAAUGCUUUCGAGUAUAAUGGCUCAAAGUUUCCAUUUCCUUGUCACUAGAAUCUUUGAAACGUACUCGCUGAUUAUACCCAUUCUUUUCAUUUGUUGGUUGCUUGUAACCAAUAUCAACCUCUUCUUCAUCUCUACAUAUUCUUGCAUCAAUAGCAUGACUCAUUCCAGUUUCGCUCAUUAAUUGCCUCUUUCGCUUAAUGCUGUCAAUGAUAACAUCAUGAAACUCCUUCUUUACAAUUCCCAAGACUUCUUUCAAUGUGAAUUCCACCUUAGCGUUUAAUAUACGUUCUUCCAACACCCCUUUCAAAUUUGUUGUCGCUUCAAUGUCAGAAAGUAGCUUAUAAGCAAUUGAUUUGCCCUUAUCUUUUGUCUCCGUUGUUUUUUCUCCCAAUUGAUGCUGAGGUAUCCUUUACAGGCAAUUCUUGUGAAGCUGCCUCCCGAGCCNNNNNNNNNNNNNNNNNNNNNNNNNNNNNNNNNNNNNNNNNNNNNNNNNNNNNNNNNNNNNNNNNNNNNNNNNNNNNNNNNNNNNNNNNNNNNNNNNNNNNNNNNNNNNNNNNNNNNNNNNNNNNNNNNNNNNNNNNNNNNNNNNNNNNNNNNNNNNNNNNNNNNNNNNNNNNNNNNNNNNNNNNNNNNNNNNNNNNNNNNNNNNNNNNNNNNNNNNNNNNNNNNNNNNNNNNNNNNNNNNNNNNNNNNNNNNNNNNNNNNNNNNNNNNNNNNNNNNNNNNNNNNNNNNNNNNNNNNNNNNNNNNNNNNNNNNNNNNNNNNNNNNNNNNNNNNNNNNNNNNNNNNNNNNNNNNNNNNNNNNNNNNNNNNNNNNNNNNNNNNNNNNNNNNNNNNNNNNNNNNNNNNNNNNNNNNNNNNNNNNNNNNNNNNNNNNNNNNNNNNNNNNNNNNNNNNNNNNNNNNNNNNNNNNNNNNNNNNNNNNNNNNNNNNNNNNNNNNNNNNNNNNNNNNNNNNNNNNNNNNNNNNNNNNNNNNNNNNNNNNNNNNNNNNNNNNNNNNNNNNNNNNNNNNNNNNNNNNNNNNNNNNNNNNNNNNNNNNNNNNNNNNNNNNNNNNNNNNNNNNNNNNNNNNNNNNNNNNNNNNNNNNNNNNNNNNNNNNNNNNNNNNNNNNNNNNNNNNNNNNNNNNNNNNNNNNNNNNNNNNNNNNNNNNNNNNNNNNNNNNNNNNNNNNNNNNNNNNNNNNNNNNNNNNNNNNNNNNNNNNNNNNNNNNNNNNNNNNNNNNNNNNNNNNNNNNNNNNNNNNNNNNNNNNNNNNNNNNNNNNNNNNNNNNNNNNNNNNNNNNNNNNNNNNNNNNNNNNNNNNNNNNNNNNNNNNNNNNNNNNNNNNNNNNNNNNNNNNNNNNNNNNNNNNNNNNNNNNNNNNNNNNNNNNNNNNNNNNNNNNNNNNNNNNNNNNNNNNNNNNNNNNNNNNNNNNNNNNNNNNNNNNNNNNNNNNNNNNNNNNNNNNNNNNNNNNNNNNNNNNNNNNNNNNNNNNNNNNNNNNNNNNNNNNNNNNNNNNNNNNNNNNNNNNNNNNNNNNNNNNNNNNNNNNNNNNNNNNNNNNNNNNNNNNNNNNNNNNNNNNNNNNNNNNNNNNNNNNNNNNNNNNNNNNNNNNNNNNNNNNNNNNNNNNNNNNNNNNNNNNNNNNNNNNNNNNNNNNNNNNNNNNNNNNNNNNNNNNNNNNNNNNNNNNNNNNNNNNNNNNNNNNNNNNNNNNNNNNNNNNNNNNNNNNNNNNNNNNNNNNNNNNNNNNNNNNNNNNNNNNNNNNNNNNNNNNNNNNNNNNNNNNNNNNNNNNNNNNNNNNNNNNNNNNNNNNNNNNNNNNNNNNNNNNNNNNNNNNNNNNNNNNNNNNNNNNNNNNNNNNNNNNNNNNNNNNNNNNNNNNNNNNNNNNNNNNNNNNNNNNNNNNNNNNNNNNNNNNNNNNNNNNNNNNNNNNNNNNNNNNNNNNNNNNNNNNNNNNNNNNNNNNNNNNNNNNNNNNNNNNNNNNNNNNNNNNNNNNNNNNNNNNNNNNNNNNNNNNNNNNNNNNNNNNNNNNNNNNNNNNNNNNNNNNNNNNNNNNNNNNNNNNNNNNNNNNNNNNNNNNNNNNNNNNNNNNNNNNNNNNNNNNNNNNNNNNNNNNNNNNNNNNNNNNNNNNNNNNNNNNNNNNNNNNNNNNNNNNNNNNNNNNNNNNNNNNNNNNNNNNNNNNNNNNNNNNNNNNNNNNNNNNNNNNNNNNNNNNNNNNNNNNNNNNNNNNNNNNNNNNNNNNNNNNNNNNNNNNNNNNNNNNNNNNNNNNNNNNNNNNNNNNNNNNNNNNNNNNNNNNNNNNNNNNNNNNNNNNNNNNNNNNNNNNNNNNNNNNNNNNNNNNNNNNNNNNNNNNNNNNNNNNNNNNNNNNNNNNNNNNNNNNNNNNNNNNNNNNNNNNNNNNNNNNNNNNNNNNNNNNNNNNNNNNNNNNNNNNNNNNNNNNNNNNNNNNNNNNNNNNNNNNNNNNNNNNNNNNNNNNNNNNNNNNNNNNNNNNNNNNNNNNNNNNNNNNNNNNNNNNNNNNNNNNNNNNNNNNNNNNNNNNNNNNNNNNNNNNNNNNNNNNNNNNNNNNNNNNNNNNNNNNNNNNNNNNNNNNNNNNNNNNNNNNNNNNNNNNNNNNNNNNNNNNNNNNNNNNNNNNNNNNNNNNNNNNNNNNNNNNNNNNNNNNNNNNNNNNNNNNNNNNNNNNNNNNNNNNNNNNNNNNNNNNNNNNNNNNNNNNNNNNNNNNNNNNNNNNNNNNNNNNNNNNNNNNNNNNNNNNNNNNNNNNNNNNNNNNNNNNNNNNNNNNNNNNNNNNNNNNNNNNNNNNNNNNNNNNNNNNNNNNNNNNNNNNNNNNNNNNNNNNNNNNNNNNNNNNNNNNNNNNNNNNNNNNNNNNNNNNNNNNNNNNNNNNNNNNNNNNNNNNNNNNNNNNNNNNNNNNNNNNNNNNNNNNNNNNNNNNNNNNNNUAUAUUGGGAAGAUGCCCGUAGUAACCUGGAUGUUCCCGUAAUUGGGUCAAAUUGGUCCUCGCGUCAGAUUGGCUAAGACCCGUAGUAAGACCUAGAUUUCCUGUAAUUAGACCACAUGGGGUCGACCGUCCAAUUCAGGUCUCAUAUUGGAUAAGAGGACCCGGAUUGGAUUAUCGAAAUUGGAUCCGAUUGGCUCCUCGAACCCGUCGUGUGAAUUGGUCCUUCUCUUCCUGCUGACUCCCGUUAUUGGAAUCGAACGGAGCAUUUCAGUAUGCCCCGGCUGACUGUAACGGGGUGACUGAACCUGACCACUCAGUAUUUGUACUGGAGUUGGUUGAUGCUCCCAAUAUUUGAGGUAACUGAAUAUUAAUAAAAUUCCCCUUUCUUUUUAUUUUCACUGUAUACUCGUGUUACAACACGACACCGCUAGAAGUUGCUUCAUAGAAAUAGAAGGUCGAAUAGCGUCCAGAUCCUUCAAAAUAUCAUAGGGUUCUAUAUUUAGGAUAAUUUCUAAUGUCUUCUUUCUUUUCAUUGGUUUGAGUUUAACUCCAUGAGAUAAGUUAUUCUUCCGCUUAUCAAGGACAAGAACUCGAUGAAAAAAUAAUUCAGACAAGUGAGCCUUCACUCAAAGAAAGGUAACAAAAUAUAAAUAAAUAAGUAUGUAUAUUGAAAGAGAAACUGGAAUGGCUAUUGCCUAAAGACAAAGAAACUAGAGACCCUUGAAACUAGACUGGAAGCAAGAAAGGAGUUGACAAGAGUGAAGAAGCCUUCACUCUUGUCUCUAUAUAUACUAUAUAACUAAGGGCUACGUGGCGACGUUCUAUAAGACCUCCAAUAUGUGUUCACUUUGUAAGACACAUGCCUUGACUUACAAGGCAAGUUUUUCUACGUGUGGGCUACAUAGUUAGCUUGAUCUUCAAGCUAACAACAUGUGUGGCACAUGGCUAACUUGUUGACCACGUUUCUAAUCCAAAAAGUCAAUUAAAGACACCUAUGAAGUCAAAACAGUAUCUAUGAAGCUUCUAGGAAGCUUUCAUAUUAAAUACUAUAGAAUUUACUUAUUUUUAUCUACUUUUACUUACUUCUAUCUAUUUGUAUAUGUAAUUAAUAGCUUACAUGAUUAUGUCCAUGACAUUACCCCUCCUUUUAGGAACGAGUUCCAUGAAGAGCGGUCAUCAUAUGUUGAGAAAAUCUAUGAUGCGACGAAUUGUAUUCACCACAUACUCUGAUCUUUGUUCUUUUCAAAGAUGAUUGAUAGGGCCUCUCAACCAUUGGUGUCGUAUUACGUGCUUUCUUGCUCGAGAACGCGUCGGGCGUCUGGCUAUAGAAGGUAGUAUGGAGAUUCGCUAAUAUUCAAGCAGUCUAUUGGUUUUUGACUUUUGAAAUAUAAACAACUGUAAGAAUACACAGUAAAUCUAUACAGAGGUCCUUCGACUGCUCGCCGAAGUCCUUUUUGUCCCAACCGAUAGGUCUCUAGACAUUACAAAGAACCCCGAACAACCCAAACUGCUAAUCUUCGAUACCGCUUUAUACUCACGAUCUUGUAUCCACUGACUGUCUUGUUAGAUUAACCCAAAAAAAUUUAUUUACUCCGCAUACUCAAUCCUAUAGACACUCCUUUAAUCCUUCAAUCAUAGAUGUAACUUCGAUUUCACAAAACAGUCAAGAGUAAUCACAUCCACUUCAUUAAAAUCUCGAUUCACCAGUACAACACUGACUUCAGCAACGAUUGCCUCAGUCUUCCCAAAACCCUAUGAAGAAAAAAAACCUCAAUUCUCUGUCUUUUUUUCCUUCCAAAGCAUGAAGCUAGCUCUCCGACCCUUCCUCUAAAAACUUAUUCUUUCCCCUUCAUUUCUUAACCUAUCCUCUCCUUUAACCUUAAUUCUCCCCUCUUUCAAACCCUAGCCUCUGAAUUUCUUCAAUCUUUCGUCUUGGAUCCGAAAUUAGCUCUCGCUGUAAGAGCUUUUUCCUCCAUUUUUACCUUUAAGAGAUCCUUUUACCGAAAGGACGUUUCCGGAAUAGCACAAAAUACGGAACAGCCUGAAACGGAAUCGAAGCCCUGUAAUCGGGACAACAUUGAGUCGCCUGACCAAUUCAGGUCUCAUAUUGGCUAAGAGGCCCAUAGUAAGACCUAGAUGUUCUCGUAAUUGGACCGCAUUGGGUUGCCCGACCAAGUCAGGUCUCAUAUUGGAUAAGAGGACCCGGAUUGGAUGUCUUGAAAUUGGAUCCAAUUGGCUCUUCGAACCAGGCUCACCCGUCAUUGAAUUGGUCCUUUUCUUUUCUGUUGACUCCCGUUAUUAGAAUCAAAUGGAGCAUUUCAGUAUGCCUCGGCUGACUGUAACGGGCUGACUCAACCUAGCCUCUUAGUAUUUGUACUGAAAUUGGUUGUUGCUCCUAAUAUUCGAGGUAACUAAACAUUAAUAAAAGUCCUCUUUCUUUAUAUUUUCACGGUAUACUCGUGUUACAACACGACAUCCACCCCCUCUGAAUCUGUGCAUCUUCCGGUGUCAUAUUGUAACAUGAGUAUACCGUGAAAAUAUAAAGAAAGGGGACUUUUAUUAAUGUUUAGUUACCUCGAAUAUUGGGAGCAACGACCAAUUCCAGUACAAAUACUGAGAGGUUAGGUUCAGUCACCCCAUUACAGUCAGCCGGGGCAUACUGAAAUGCUCCAUUUGAUUCCAAUAACAGGAAUCAGCAGGAACGGAAAGGACCAAUUCAACGACAGGUGAGUCUGGUUCGAAGAGCCAAUUGAAUCCAAUUUCAAGACAUCCAAUCCAUGUCUUACCCAAUAUGAGACCUAAAUUGGUCGGGCAACCCAAUGCGGUCCAAUUACAAGAACAUCCAGGUUACUACGGGCCUCUUAUCCAAUAUGAGACCUGAAUUGGUUGGACGACUCAAUGUGGUCCCGAUUACGUGGUUAUGAUUUUGUUUCAGGCUCUCCUAUUCUCUGUGCCAUUUGAGGGAAUGUUAUUUUCAGUAAAAGGAUCUCUUAAAGGUAAAAAUGAAAGAGAGAACUCUGACGAUGGAGCCAAUUCCAGAUCCAAGGCGGAGAUUGAAGAAAUUCAGAGGCUAGGGUUUGAAAGAGGAGAGAAUUAGGAUUAAAGGGGAGGAUAGGUUAAGAAAUGAAGGGAGAGAAUAGGUUUUUAGAAGGAUCGGAGAGCUAGCUUCAUGCUUCGGGAAGGAGAAAAAAGACAGAGAAUUGGGUUUUUUUUCUUCAUAGGGUUUAGGGAAGACUGAGGCAAUCGUUGGUUAAGUCAGUGUUGUAAUAGUGAAUCGGGAUUUUUAAUGAAGUAGGUGUCAUUACUCUUGACUGUUUUGUGAAAUCGAAGUUACGUUUGUGAUUGAAGAAUUAAAAGGGUGUCUAUAGGAUUGAGUAUGCGGAGUGAAUGAAAUUUAUUGGGUUAAUCUAAUAAGACAGUCAGUGGAUACAAGAUCGUGAGUAUAAAGCGGUAUCAAAGAUUAGAAGUUUGGGUUGUUCGGAGUUCUCUAUAAUGUCUAGAAACCUAUCGGCUAAGACAAAAAGGAUUUCGACGAGCAGUCGAAGGACAUUCGUAAAGUUUUACAGUAUAUUCUUAUAGUUGUUUAUAUUAUAACAGUCAAAAACCGAUAGACUGCUUGAAUAUUAGCGAAUCUCCAUAGUAUCUUCUACAGCCAGACGUCCGGCGCGUUCUCGAGCAGAAAAGUACGUAAUAUGACAUAAGUGGUGAACCCGACGUGAUAGCUUGAGGUGGAAGGUAUUUGAUUUUGUUUGAUUUUAUUUUUAUUUUAUAGAAAACGAAAAUAAAAAUUUUGAAGUAUCUUUGGGAGGAGUUUCUGGUGGGGGUUCUUCUAAAGGACAAGGUAUGCACAUGGAUCCAUCUAUUGAUAGUAUGUUUCAAGCCUUCUCAUUAUCAAUGCAGCAACAACAAAGCAAUGAUCGAAAAGAAGCUUUGGCAACUAAAGUAUUGCAAGCAGUGGUGAAUAAAAUUGAUCAAUUUGAUGGAAGGAAUAUUUCAAGGUAUUUAAGAUGUUAUGUUCGUGAAAUGGAAUUAAAUCGGAUUUCUAAGAAGAAAAUGGUUGAAUUAUUUGGACUUGCCACGAUGCUGGAGAUAAGAGACCAUAUUAUAUCGAUUACGGAUCGUUAUGGGAAUUCAUGGAAGGUUUUUUCACAUGCAUUGAAAGACGAAUAUUUCUUGGAAGAUGCUGAUCGCGUUACUAAGAAGUUGUUUCUGGAAUGGAUUGAACAGCCUAAUAAGAAUUCGCAAGUAACAGAGCUACUAAGGGAAUUUGAAAGGCAAUACUUUCAAUUAUCGAAGGUAGAAAAAUUAACAUUAGAGUCGAACAAAGUUGAUCUAUUUCUUCAAGCUGCUGAUGGAGAAUUGCAAGGAAAAUUAGAACUCCUUCUUGAAGACAAAUAAGAAGAUGAAGGAUUGACAACAAAGUGGAAGAACGUUGAAGAUGCGGUGGGGUUGCUUACAAAAAGAGAAAGGAGAAAGGAUAGGAGCAAUAUUCCAAAAACAGUACAAGCACCCAAAGCUCCAAUACGUAUAACACCACCAACAAUGCCUACAGUUCAACCUUUGACAUCCUUAUCAAAGAAAGCAGAUAUGGAAAUGGAAGAUAUUAUACGAGAAAUGCGAGAUCUUCAAAUCAAAUUGGCAAGACUCGAAGAGAAUACUUCUACAAAUAAUUCGAAGAAUAUUUUGAAACAAGAAUAUGUACAAAGAUGCAUUUGGUGUGAUGAUGCUUUACACACUAGAAAAGAUUACAAUGAAUUUAAUAAUAUGAUAUGGCAAGGAAUUAUUUGUUGGAAAGAUGGGAAGAUAGCAUUAAAAGAUAGGAAGGAUCUUCUUCAAACCAAUUUUGGCAAGGGAGGAAUGAGAGCAUUGGUUCAAGAUUACCUAAAAGAGCGCGAAACAUUAACACGAGAAAGUGCGAGUUAUGGUACUAGAGUAGAUGAUGACCUUGGUGGAAGUACGGAAACUAGUGAGUUUUGGGCUUCUGCCAUUUCUACAAUGCAAGAAGAAAAAUUACCUCCAGAAGCGUUAUUGAGGAUUGCAGCUACAAUACGAGGUGCAACAGGUUGAGAGGAUUCUGUUGAGUCUCUUUCAGUUCAUGCAUAUAUUACUAAGAGCCAACAUGAAGCUUUGAUGGAAGAAAAGAGACGAGGAAAUUUUGAUGAUACUAGAAAAGGAAAUUCUUCUAAAAGACAAACUCGAGGAGACAAGGCUUGGGAGGCAGCUUCACAAGAAUUGUCUGUAAAGGAUACCUCAGCAUCAUUGGAAGAAAAAGCAAGGGAGACAAAAGAUAAGGGCAAAUCAAUUACUUAUAAGCUAUUUUUUGACAUUGAAGCAGCAAAAAAUUUAAAAGGGGUGUUGGAAGAACAUAUAUUAAAUGCUAAGGUAGAAUUCACAUUGAAAGAAGUUUUGAAAAUUGCAAAGAAGGAGUUUCAUGAUGUUAUCAUUGACAGCAUUAAGAAAAAGAGGCAAUUAAUGGGUGAAAUUGGAAUGAGUCAUGCUAUUGAUGCAAGAAUAUAUAAAGAUGAAGAAGAGGUUGAUAUUGAUUACAAGCAACCAACAAAUGAAAAGAAUGGGUAUAAUCAACAAGUACGUUUCGAAGAUUAUAGUGAUAAGAAAAUAGAAACUUUGAGCCAUUAUACUCGAAAGCAUUGGACAAAGGCAACUACUGAGGUAUUGGUGAAAGUAGGAGAUAUAGAAGAACCAAUUGUUGCUUUAGUCGACCAUGGUUCUGAAAUAAAUCUCAUGUGUAAAGAUCUUUAUAAGAAGCAAAAAUGGCCAAUUGAUAUGGAACAUGGAUGGGCAAUAUGAGCAGCUAAUAACACAUGAGGCGAAUUAUAUGGAGCUUGUCCAGAUGUCAAAAUUCGGAUUGGGGAUGUUGCGACGGAGCAACAUUUCUUUGUUCAAAAUACAACGUCUUAUCCAUUGAUUUUAGGACAACUUUAUAUUACAGCAACACGGAUGGAAACAAAAGUACUUGACAAUGAUUCUGCUUAUGCAAGAAUACGUAGCAAAGAUGGAAGGAAAGCUGUACAAUUUCUAACAGUACCUCCUAACCAUGAACGGAAUCGAGAUAGGUUGAGGGAGAAACCAUUGCCAAAGAUUGUUGAAAGAUUUAAGGGUUUUGGGGAGGUACCACUGUAAAGUGAGAUUAUGGAGGUAUAAAAGAGGAGGUACUCUCGCGAGAUGAAGGUACCUUUGAUGCCAGUUUUAUUGGUAUUCUGGAGAAUGGAAAUAUUAUGUAUAAGAAAGUUGAUGAUUUUAAAAGAAAAGAAAUAAAAAGAUUAUAUGAUAUUGAAGGAGAAUUAUGCAAGUUAGGUACGCAGCAAGAAGAUAAAAGUGAUUUGGAUAAUGAAGGUGAUGAAGACGAACUAGACAAAGACGUACAGAAUAUAUUCUAAAUCAUAUAGCAAUUGAGUAAAUUGGUGCAUACCGGUGUCAUAUUACGUGCUUUCUUGCUCGAGAACACGUCGGGCGUCUGGUUGUAGAAGGUAGUAUGGAGAUUUGCUAAUAUUCAAGGAGUUUAUCGGUUGUUAACUGUUGAAAUAUAAACAACUACAAGAAUAUACUGUAAAUCUUUACGAAUGUCCUUCGACUGCUCGCCGAAAUCUUUUUUGCCUUAGCCGAUAGGUCUCUAGAGGUUAUAGAGAACCGCGAACAAUCCAAACUGCUAAUCUUCAAUAUCGCUUUAUACUCACGAUCUUGUAUCCACUGACUGUCUUAUUAGAUUAACCCAAUAAAUUUCAUUCACUCCGCAUACUCAAUCCUAUAGACAUCCUUUUAAUUCUUCAAUCACAAACGUAACUUCGAUUUCACAAAACAGUCAAGAGUAAUGACACCCACUUCAUUAAAAAUCCCGAUUCACUAUUACAACACUGACUUAACCAACGAUUGCACCUCGUAUUGUAGCUGCAAUCCUCAAUAACGCUUCUGGAGGUAAUUUUUCUUCUUGCAUUGUAGAAAUGGCAGAAGCCCAAAACUCACUAGUUUCCGUACUUCCACCAAGGUCAUCAUCUACUCUAGUACCAUAACUUGCACUUUCUCGUGUUGUUGUUUCGCGCUCUUUUAGGUAAUCUUGAACCAAUGCUCUCAUUCCUCCCUUGCCAAAAUUGGUUUGAAGAAGAUCCUUCCUAUCUUUUAAUGCUAUCUUCCCAUCUUUCCAACAAAUAAUUCCUUGCCAUAUCAUAUUAUUAAAUUCAUUGUAAUCUUUUCUAGUGUGUAAAGCAUCAUCACACCAAAUGCAUCUUUGUACAUAUUCUUGUUUCAAAAUAUUCUUUGAAUUAUUUGUAGAAGUAUUCUCUUCGAGUCUUGCCAAUUUGAUUUGAAGAUCUCGCAUUUCUCGUAUAAUAUCUUCCAUUUCCAUAUCUGCUUUCUUUGAUAAGGAUGUCAAAGGUUGAACUGUAGGCAUUGUUGGUGGUGUUAUACGUAUUGGAGCUUUGGGUGCUUGUACUGUUUUUGGAAUAUUGCUCCUAUCCUUUCUCCUUUCUCUUUUUGUAAGCAACCCCACCGCAUCUUCAACGUUCUUCCACUUUGUUGUCAAUCCUUCAUCUUCUUAUUUGUCUUCAAGAAGGAGUUCUAAUUUUCCUUGCAAUUCUCCAUCAGCAGCUUGAAGAAAUAGAUCAACUUUGUUCGACUCUAAUGUUAAUUUUUCUACCUUCGAUAAUUGAAAGUAUUGCCUUUCAAAUUCCCUUAGUAGCUCUGUUACUUGCGAAUUCUUAUUAGGCUGUUCAAUCCAUUCCAGAAACAACUUCUUAGUAACGCGAUCAGCAUCUUCCAAGAAAUAUUCGUCUUUCAAUGCAUGUGAAAAAACCUUCCAUGAAUUCCCAUAACGAUCCGUAAUCGAUAUAAUAUGGUCUCUUAUCUCCAGCAUCGUGGCAAGUCCAAAUAAUUCAACCAUUUUCUUCUUAGAAAUCCGAUUUAAUUCCAUUUCACGAACAUAACAUCUUAAAUACCUUGAAAUAUUCCUUCCAUCAAAUUGAUCAAUUUUAUUCACCACUGCUUGCAAUACUUUGGUUGCCAAAGCUUCUUUUCGAUCAUUGCUUUGUUGUUGCUGCAUUGAUAAUGAGAAGGCUUGAAACAUACUAUCAAUAGAUGGAUCCAAUAUCUUCCACCUCAAGCUUUCACGUUGGAUUCACCACUUGUGUCGUGUUACGUGCUUUCUUGCUCGAGAACGCAUCGGGCGUCUCGCUGUAGAAGGUAGUAUGGAGAUUCACUAAUAUUGAAGCAGUCUAUCGGUUUUUGACUGAUGAAAUAUAAACAACUUUAAGAAUAUACCAUAAAUCUAUACAGAUGUCUUUCGACUGCUCGCCGAAGUCCUUUUUGUUCCAGUCGGUAGGUCCUAGACAUUACAGAGAACCCCGAAGAACCCAAACUACUCAUCUUCGAUACCGCUUUAUACUCACGAUCUUGUAUCCACUGACUGUCUUGUUAGAUUAACCCAAUAAUUUUCAUUUACUCCGCAUACUCAAUCCUAUAGACACUCCUUUAAUCCUUCAAUCAUAGACGUAAUUUUGAUUUCACAAAACAGUCAAGAGUAAUCACACCCACUUCAUUAAAAUCUCGAUUCACCAGUACAACACUGACUUCAGCAACGAUUCCCUCAGUCUUCCCAAAAUCCUAUGAAGAAAAAAAACCUCAAUUCUCUGUCUUUUUUCCCCUCCAAAUCAUGAAGCUAGCUCUCCGACCCUUCUUCUAGAAACUUAUUCUCUCCCCUUCAUUUCUUAACCUAUCCUCUUCUUUAACCCUAAUUCUCCCCUCUUUCAAAUCCUAGCAUUUGAGUUUCUUCAAUCUUCCAUCUUGGAUCCGAAAUUGGCUCUAGUUGUAAGAGCUUUUUCCUCCAUUUUUACCUUUAAGAGAUCCUUUUAUCAAAAGGACAUUCCCGGAAUAGCACAAAGGACGGAAUAGCCUGAAACGGAAUCAGAGCCCCGUAAUCGGGACAACAUUGAGUCGCUCGACCAAUUCAGGUCUCAUAUUGUCUAAGAGCCCCGUAGUAAGACCUGAAUGUUCUCGUAAUUGGACUACAUUCGGUUGCCCGACCAAGUCAGGUCUCAUAUUGGAUAAGAAGACCCGAAUUAGAUGUCUUGAAAUUGGAUCCAAUUGGCUCUUCGAACCAAGCUCACUCGUCAUUGAAUUGGUCCUUUUCUUUUCUGUUGACUCCCGUUAUUAGAAUCAAACGGAGCAUUUCAGUAUGCCCCGGCUAACUGUAAUGGACGAACUGAACCUAGCCUCUCAGUAUUUGCACUGGAAUUAGUCGUUGCUCCCAAUAUUCGAGGUAACUGAACAUUAAUAAAAGUCCUCUUUCUUUAUAUUUUCACGGUAUACUCGUGUUACAACACGACAUCGGUAGUGUCCCAUAUCAGGGCGGGAUGACCACCCAGCUAUUUGAUCAUUGUUGAGGCCUUCGUAACUUCCUUCGAAUAGAAUAUUUGGAACACCAUCAGGAGUUGUUCCUACCUCUAGCACAAUCACCAAACAUCGGGAGUCUCUUCCCAAAUCAUGAUACCAAACGCGUUGUACCUCGCCAUCUAUUCGAGGAAGAACAUGUCGUUCUUGAAGAUUUUCAUCUCGAUUGCAUCGUCUUGAAGGUUGUAAAAAUUGUAAUGUCUCGUCUGGCAGGUCAGCAAAUGAAGGCUCUUGAGUCCAAUCCACUGGUUGUUGGUUCUCCAUCUCCUGAGCAUCACUACUACAAAGAAGCUAUGAACAAGAAUUGAAAGUAGAAUGUUAUCUUGCCUAGAUGUUGUUUUUUUUGUAAAGAAGGUUUUUAUCUUGAUUUUGAUGGAUGUCGUCGAUGAAAAGCCUCCAUCGCCUUUGCUGCAUUUACAAGAUUCUUUAUUGGCUCCCAUGUGCGUUCACUAAUACCAUAUCCGCGCCAAUGGACAAGAUAAUCUAAUUUAUUUUAGCGCCGCCUUGAAUCUAAGACUUCUUCUACUUCAAACUCUUCAUUAUUGUCCACUUCUAUAGGAGGAGGUGGAGCUUGUCGUCUUCUUGGUAUGUCCACUGUCUUUUAUGGUUCAAGAAGAGACAUGUGGAAUACUAGAUGGAUUUUCAUUGACUCUAAUAGAUAUAAACGAUAUGCAACUGGAUUGAUUUGUGCAGAAAUAGAAAAUGGUCCUAGCCUUCGAAAGUCCAACUUGUCACAAGGACGAGUGGUCUUGAUAUUGCGACAAAGUAGCCAUACCUUAGUACCCAAGACAAAUAAUGGUUGUUCCUUUCGAUAAACAUCCGCAUUGACCUUUUGUUGUUCUUGAGCCUCUUUUAACUGCACCUUCAUCAUUGCAUGUAGCUCUGAUAAAUGAAUUGCUAAAUCUUUCCCAACAGGAUUAUCAACUUUUGAAAAGUCAAAAGUAUCAAGUCAUGGAUGAUAACCAUAAUUAGCAAAGAAAGGUGUUUGUUUUGUAGAAGAAUGUAUUGUGUUAUUGUAAGCAAACUCUGCCAAUGGCAAAAGAGUUGUCCAAUCAUCUUGUUGGUAAUUAAUGGUACAUCUUAAAUAUUACUCCAAAACUUCAUUAACACGCUCCGUUUGUCCAUCAAUUUGAGGUUGGAAUGCCGAAGUUAGUUUUAUAUCCAUUUUAAGAAUCUUGAAAAGAGUCUGCCAAAAUCUUGAUACAAAUUGAGUUCUCCUAUCUAAUAUAAUAUCCUUGGAUAAUCCAUGAUAGCGAUAGAUAUUGUCAAGAAAGAUCUUAGCUGUUUCUUCACCUGUGAUAGAUUUUGUACAUGGUACAAAAUAUGCCAUCUUGGUAAAACGAUCUACUAUCACAAAUAUAGAAUCAUAAGAACCUUAGAUUGGAAGAUCCGUGAUGAAGUCCAUAGAAACAGAACACCAUGGUUGUUCUGGAAUGGGUAAUGGCUGAAGAAGUCCAAAAGGUCGAUGACGAGGAGUUUUUGAUCUUGAGCAAACAUCACAUGAUUGUACAAAAUCUUUAACUGCCUUUCACAUUUGAGGCUACCAAAAAUCCCUAGAUAUCAGCUCUAAAGUCUUAUGAUAUCCAAAAUAUCCUGCUGCUAGGAAGUUGUGACGAGCUUGAAGAACACGUAAACGUGCUUCUCCUUCUAGAACAUAUAGGCGUCUUUCGAAAUAGAAUAGGUUGUUCUUGAAUUCAAAUUUAGAGGGAUCAUGAGAUUUAGAAGAAUUAUUCUUGAUAUCAUGAACAAGAGGGUCUGAAGACAUACUUAACUAGACUUGCUUAAGAAAAGUUAAAUCAACAGUCAAUGUUGAUUUUAUUGCUCGAAGAUGAAAUUGCUUUGGCUUCAAGAGAACCAUUCUUUGUUGCUCAAAAGCUGCAUCUCCUUCUUUUGGUGCAAGAUAAAAACGUCUAGAUAAGGCAUCAGACAAACCUUGUUGUUUUCUUGGUCGAUAAGUGAUGAUGAACUCGAAUCUUGAUAAAGACAUGCUCCAACGAGCUUGACGACGAUUUAAUAUGCAUAUUGACAUAAAAUAUUUGAGGUUCUUGUGAUCCGUAUACAUAUUACCUAGACUGGAAGCGCCUUCUAGAUAAUGAUGCCAUUCUUGAAAAGAAUCCACAAUUGCAAGAAGUUCUUUGUCGUAAAUCUCAUAAUUGAUUUCUGCUGUUGAGAAUUUUCUUGAAUGAAAGGCCACUGGAUGAAAUUUGUCAUCUGUUCCCAUUUGUGAUAAAACCGCACCUAGAGCAAAGUCUGAUGCAUCUAUUUCCAUAAAGAAUGCUUUGGAAAAAUCAACACGAUACAAGAUUGGUGCAGAAACAAACGCUGUCUUCAAAGAUUCAAAAGUAACUUCCGCUUCUUGAUUCCAUUGGAGUUUUUCUUUACAAGUCAAAUGUGUAAAUAGAGCUGCAACUCGAGAGAAGUCUUUGAUGAAGAUCCGAUAGUAGUUGGCUAAUCUCAAAAAACAUUGGACAUCUCUUACCGUUUUUGGGAUCUUCCAGUCUAUAAUAGUUUGAACUUUCUUAGGAUCCAUCAUAAGUCCAUCAUUUGAAAUAAUGUAACCUAAGAAAUCAACUUGAAUAGUGUGGAAUAUACACUUUUCUAUCUUGGCAUAGAGUCCCACAUCUCUUAAUUUUUGUAACACACGACAAACAUGAAGUUCAUAUUCUUUUGGAUUCUUAGAAUAGAUCAAGAUGUCGUCUAGAUAAUAGAAUACAAAAUCGUCCAAAAACUCUCAAAAAACAUCAUUCAUUAGAUGUUGAAAAGCUGUUGGUGCAUUUGUAAGUCCAAAAGGCAUGACGUUGUAUUCAAAAUAUCCAUACCUAGUUCGAAACGCAGUCUUCCAUUCAUCUCCUUCUUUGAUGCAUACUAGAUUGUAUGCUCUCCGAAGAUCUAUUUUUGUAUAGAUCUUAGCUUGAUUCAGCUGAUCAAGAAGUCCAGAUAUUUAAAAGAGUGGAUACCUGUUCUUGAUGAUAAUCUUCUUGAGUCCUCGAUAAUCAAUACACAUCCGUAAUGAUCCAUCUUUUUUCUUCACAAAUAGAAUUGGAGCUCUUGCCGGAGAUUUAGAAUGGCGUAUGAAAUUCUUGGCUAGAUUUUCUUCAAUAUACUCCUUGACUUCAAUCAACUCAUUUUGUGAUAAACUGGAGAUUGAUCCAAAUGGCGGUUGUGCUCCUUCUUGAAGGUCAAUUGAGCAAUCAUAGGGACGAUGUUCCGGGAGUAUAUCCGCAUUCUUUUUUUCAAAUACAUCUUGAAAUUCUUGAUAUUGGCUUGGAAUGCCACUUAAAGACUUUUCACCAGUAGAAACGGGUGUGGCAUAAAUAAUAUAUGGUGAUUCUUUCAUAACAGCAUGCAAGAAAGCUUUUGCACCUAUAAAUACGGGUUUAAUUGAACUGGACUUAUGACUCUCUACUUGAUUAACUACACUGUUAGUUAUACUUUUAGAGAAAGUAAGAGUUUGGAAAAUCCAAUCUAUUUUAGGGUUGUAUUUUUCUAACCACGAUAAACCUAAAAUGACUGGAUUAGAGGGAGAUCUAAUGAUAUUAAAUACUACAAAACUAUUAUGACCAUUGAUUAUUACUUCUAUAGGAAGGGUUUCAUGAGUAAUAUCUCCAGAAGACAACGGACGACCAUCUAUGACUUCUACAUGAACAGGUUUAGUUUUCUUUACUAAAGAUAUGUUAUGUCUUUUAGUAAAUUUUUCAUCUAAAAAACAUGUUGAGGCUCCUGAAUCUAACAAGGCAGAGACUUUGUAAUGUUUAGGUCCUAAAAUAACAUUUAAUAUAAAAUAAGGAGAGGGCUCUGAGGAGAGAAUAGGACCUUUACUAGAUGUUGUGCAAGGUUCCAACCGCACGGUCCCUAGUGUAGCUGGACAAACUCGUUUUCUGACAUAUUGUCUUAUUUCACAGCCAUACUCUUUAUUUUGUGAUUGCGUUGUUUCUUUAGACAAUGCUAAGCAGUGUGCUUUGAUUCUCCAUAAUAUAAACAUAAUCCUUCUUGAUGACGAUGAGUCUUUUCUUGCUCAGUAAGAGGUUUGAAACGUACUGCAUCAAUUUGCAUAUCCUUCACUUCUGAAUGUAUGUGUUGAAGAGGUGUUGGUGUUGCCAUUGAAUUAUAAUAACGUUGAGGUCCACUUGUACGGUUCUCAAAUCGGAAUUCAAAAAGGUGAUUAUCGCACUUCACAGCAAAGUCAAUUGCUUGACUCAAUGUUUGAGGAUCAGGUAAGUUGAGCAUUAAUUUUUUUACCUCAUAUUGUAAUCCAUAGAGAAAUUGAUUAAUAAGUGCAAUAUCAUCUCACUUGAUAUCAGUUGCAAGUUGUCAAAAUUGUGAAGCGUAUAACGUUACAGAUCGAUUGCUUUGUCGUAAAAUAUGGAUCUUAUUGGUUGCAACAUGAAUUGCAUCAUGUUCUCCAUACAUGGAUCGAAACUCCACCAAAAAAGCCUCUAGAUUAUCCAAUAUUGGAUCUCGUCGUUCAAAAAAAGAUGAAAACCACGAUAGUGCUGAACCUGAAAGAAGCGUACCAAUGAAUCUAACUUGCGAUCUUGGAGUUGGAUAGCUUUUGGGUUGAAGUUCAAUCACAAGUUGUACUUGAUUGAUAAAUCCUCAAAAUUUAGAUCUGGUGCCAUCAAACUUCUCGGGUAGGGCAAUUCUUGGUUCUCUAACAUUAGAAGGGCGUUCCACUAUAGGAGAAAGGACAUGGUUUGGUGCAGACGUUGAAGUAGCUCCAACCAUUUCUAUAUCUUCACUUCCUGCAAAUCUUGUUGCUCCUUGUGGUGGUAAAUUGAGUUAAUGCAUCGUAAGCAUUAACUCCCUCAAUUGCUCUUGCAUUUGUACCAUUGCACUCUUCAUUUCAACAAGUUCUGCCAUGAUAACACUUAGAAGAGAGAAGAUGUUUAAUAUCGCUGAAGAUAAAUAGAAGAGAGGACUUGAGAACAAAGAAAAUACUAAUGACAAUAUCAAUUUAGAAGAGGGUAAUCCGCAAAUUCUAAUAUGCUUAUAUCUUAUCAAGAAAAAAGGGUAAUUCACUCUUAAUCAAGAUUAGACAAAGCUUUGAUAUUUUAGGUGUAUUCUUGACAAUUUGUCAAGGACAAGAAUUUGAUGAAAAAAAAAAUCAGUCAAGUGAGCCUUCACUCAAAGAAAGGUAACAAAAUAUAAAUAAACAAGUAUGUAUAUUGAAAGAGAAACUGGAAUGGCUAUUGCCAAAAGACAAAGAAAUUAGAGACCCUUGAAACUAGACUGGAAGCAAGAAAGGAGUUGACAAGAGUGAAGAAGCCUUCACUCUUUUCUCUAUAUAUAGUAUCUAACUAAGGGCUACGUGGCGACGUUCUAUAAGACCUCCAAUAUGUGUUCACUUUGUAGGACACAUGCCUUGACUUACAAGGCAAGUUUUUCUACGUGUGGGCUACAUAGUUAGCUUGAUCUUCAAGCUAACAACAUGUGUGGCACAUGGCCAACUUGUUGACCACGUUUCUAAUCCAAAAAGUCAAUUAAAGACACCUAUGAAGUCAAAACAGUAUCUAUGAAGCUUCUAGGAAGCUUUCAUAUUAAAUACUAUAGAAUUUACUUAUUUUUAUCUACUUUUAUUUACUUCUAUCUAUUUAUAUAUGUAAUUACUAGCUUACAUGAUUAUGUCCGUGACACCGCCCUGGACUCAGAAUUAGAACAGGAACCGAGGCUUCUUUGAAAUUUCCACCCCCGAGAGGAUCUUUCAACAGAUAGGAUGUUUCUCGAAACUGCGUAGAGAUCGAAACUGCUUGGAUUGGAAUCGAAGCCUCCGUAAUUGAGACCUCAUUGGGUUGUGCCACCGAGUCAAGUCUCAUACUGGGUACGAAGCUUGUAACAGGACCUGGAUUAGAUGGUCCCCUAAUUGGGUCGAAUUAGUCUUUCGCUUCGAGAUUACUCAAAUAUUGAAUUGACCUUUUUCCCUUUUGCUAACUCCGGAUAAGAAUGGUUUGGACACAUUCCACCCGAUUUACUGGAGAAUCUUGAGGACCUCAAUUUAUCUCCUCAAUUUUUCCUUGGCUUUGGAUCUGUUGAUCCCGAUUAUUGAAAUUGAAUGGAGUAUUACAUUGUUGAUACGUAUGCCCUGACUGCUUGCAAUUCCCACAAACUGGUGCAUAAUCGUCACUAGCUUCGGGAUUGAGACAUUCAUUUGCAUGAUGACCAUUUUGUCUGCAACGGAAACAACGAAGUGGUCUUCUUGCACCCCCAUCAGGCAUAUUGGGUGCCUCCACUAGUAUAUACCUACUAGGCUUGUUCCAUGUAGGGUUAGAAAAUGAUCCUGGUUGUCCCGUUGGUACUGAGGAAACUUGGUUUGGUGACGUCGAUGGAGCAUAUUACUGAUACCUCUGCUGCUCCUUACCAUAGUUCUGGAGGUUCGAUGCAGACCCCUGAUUAAAAUUGGAACUUUGAAAGUUAUUGAAUGCUCAGUUCUGUCGAUUAAAUCGAUUUCCAUUCCAUCCAAACAUAUUUUCCAUUUGUACUUGAUUGACGUCUCACUAGGUUGGUGGGAUCAUGGUCUGAUUACUAAAUUGUUGUUGUUGUCUUUGUCGAUUCCAACAAUUUGCUAUUAGGUACUUUCCUCCGUAAAAUGUACAUUGAUCCAUUAUUUGUAAGAGUCAGGGACAUUCUGUUACUGAAUGAUCGUGGCCCUUACAAUUACUUCACCAUACAUUGGUCCUAGUAUUGAUAGGCUCUUCCCUCUUCUCCUUAUCUUUGACCAUAUUGAUGGCCAUUUCUUCCAUUUUCUUCGUCAAAUUCAAUAACAAGGUUUCAUUGGAAUCUUUUAGGGCUAGCAUUAUUAGUAUCUCUAUCGUAAUUAAUGCUUAUUGUUGAUACAAAAAAUAUGGAGCAUACGCUAUUGACACGUUCGAUGGUAUAGCUUGCAAUGGGGUGACAUUAACUGGCCCCUAAAUACUAGUAUUGGAAUUGGCCCCUAUUUCUAACAUCCGUGGAUAACUACCCACUAAUUCAUUCCAAGUCGGAUUUUGAUAUCUACCUUGAACUAGAAUCAUCCUGGCUCCCGCAAUUAAAAACUGAUCAUAAUGGCAUUCCUCUCAAACCUUGACUCUAUUAAGAGAUGAUGCAAUGGUGGCUGAUUGGACCUCCUUUACAAACAUCUUCAAUUUUGGUGGGUGUAGUCCAUUAAUCAAUAUGGACAACACAAAUGAUUUCGGCAUUUGGUUAUUUGGCCAUUUUCAAAGUAUAUCUACUACGCGACCAUAAUAUGACUGUGCCGCUUCCCAUGGUUCCAUUUUUUUAUUCAUUAAUUUUUCUCGAAGGCGGUCCUCAAAACCAAUUGGUCAAAAAUGAGAUAAAAAUGCAUUCUUCAAUACUUCUCAAUUCAGAAAUUGAUCCACUGAUUGGCGGUUGUACCAUUCAAACGUCAUGUCUUUUAAGGUCACUGGCAGUCAUCGUAACCAAAUAUCUUCAGUUUUGCCAUUAUUAGCUACAUAUGCUGUAAAAAAUUGAGACAAAUGUUGAUCGAGAUCCGCACCCAAAAAUUCCCAAAAAAUAGGUAGUGGCACGACACUAGUUGUACGAUCGCCUACUGCACCCAUUUGUACUGCAAUCAGAAUGACUCGUCCUCUUGACGCCAUUGAAUUUCUUAUUCCACUAAACUCCAUUUUAAAAUAAUCUCUGCUUUUCCUUAUUCUAAUUUCCAAGCUCUCAGUGCUCCUUAAUUUACUGUUAUUUUCUGUAAAUAGUUUUAUUGGUUGAAUUACAGGUGAAAACGUUAGAUUUUGAAAUACAAUAUAGUUAUCUUUAUUAGCGACCAAUUUAUGCCAAUCUGAAGAGCCACUAUUGCUCAUUUCAGCGGUACCUUCUACUGAAAAAAUAUCCAAUGGAGUACCAAAUUCUUCUAUGCCUCCUUUUCUUUCAUUUAACAGCCUCAAGAUCUCCACUGGAAUGUUAACAAAAUUUCUCACAAGUGUUCUUGGCAGUUUUUCUAACGAUACAUACGACUGUAGAAUUAACAGUCUGUUUGGUUCUUAAUAUGUUCGGAUACAUCGACAAGCUUGCAACCAUGGUUUAAUCCAAUUCUAUCGAUGCUUUCUUUUAAGAUUACGUUCUUGCUCCUCUCUAAGUAAGUUUCUUUCUUGCGCUCUUCCUUGUCUUUCUCUCAACUGAUUUAUUUUCCUAGAUGCAAUGCUCUCGUUCUUAUUAACCAUAAUCUUGCUUCAAACACUACUGAAAUCGUCUUCCAUUGCCAAUUUUCACAUUUGGUAAUUAAUUCCUAACACUCAAAGCUAUUAUCUCUCCCCGGUAGUGGCAUCAAAAUGUGAUUGCUCGUUUUACUUAUUCCAAAUUAAUCUAAUAGGAAUAAAUCCGUAUAGGGAGAUUCGAACAUGAGGAAUGACUAGUUGCUUAAGCAUUCACGUUAGGGUCACACAAUCAAUUACCUCCUGAAUGUAUCGUCUCUAUUUCUAAUAUCUGAACACACAAAGAAACUAUAAUCUCCUCCUUCAUCUUAUUGAUCUCUUCUUUACAACAAUUUAGUUAUACCAAUAACUACUAUUUCUACCAAUAUAUUCACCCUCAUAAUCUCCAACUAUAAUACUGCACCUUCACAGUGUUCAGCACACAAUUACCCUCAUUCCAAUCAUUGGAAUUCUUCACAUAAAACUGCCAUUCACAUUACGGUGUUUCACACAAACACAGACUCAUUCUCUCUGCUGAACUACAAUCAAAUUUUAGCAUUCAAUCUUUCUUCUUCUCAAAUAAUACCAAUCACAUGUCCAUUCCAUAAUUUACUUCACAAUAUUCAGAAACCCUCAAUCGUUUAAUUCAAAGAAAAUAACAAACAAAAGAAAAGAGGUAGCACGAAGCUUACCCCGGCUCACACUAUCACAACAAUGGCACCUUAAUUAACUUCUGCAACUUUUAUAUACUUUCUCCUGAUUCUCCAGAUUCUAAUUGUAGUUCUGUAAUUAAUCACUUUUAAGAACUAAAUCACUCAUCCGUCUUCCUGAAUUUUCUAUUAUAUGGACUAUUAAUAUAUUUUACCAAUAUCUUUCAAAAACAAAUUAAUAUCUAUUCUACACAUACUAUCUUCUUUGAUAGCCGUACUCUUCAUUAUGUGGUUGCAUCACUUUUUUGGGCAAUGUUGAAUAGUGUGCUUAGAUUCUCUACAAUAUAAGCACAAUCCUUCCUAAUGACGAUAAGUCUUUUUUUGCUCAAUAAGAAAUUUGAAACGUACUGCAUCAAUUUGCAUAUCCUCUACUUUCGAAUAUAUAUGUUGAAGAGAUGUUAAUGUUUCCAUUGAAUUAUAGUAACAUUAAGGUUCACUUGUACGGUUCUCAGAUCAAAAUUCAAAAAGAUGAUUGUCACACUUCACAACAAAGUCAAUUGCUUGACUCAAUAUUUGAAGAUCAGGUAAGUUGUGAAUUAAUUUUUUAUCUCAUAUUAUAAUCUAUAGAAAAAUUGGCUAACAAGUGCAAUAUUAUCUCACUUGAUAUUAAUUAUAAGUUGUCAAAAUUUUGAAGUAUACAACGUUACUGAUCAAUUUUUUUAUCGUAAAAUAUGGAUCUUAUUGGAUGCAACAUGAAUUGCAUCAUGUUUUCCAUACUUGGUUCAAAAUUCUACCAAAAAAGCCUCCAGAUUAUUCAAUAUUGGAUCUCGUCAUUCAAGAAAAGAUGAAAACUAUGAUAAUGCUGAACUUGAAAGAAACAUACCAAUGAAUCUAAUCUACGAUCUUAGAGUUGGAUAGCUUUGGAGUUGAAGUUCAAUCACAAGUUGUAUUUGAUUGAUAAAUCCUCUAAAAUUUGAUCUGGUACCAUCAAACUUCUCGGGUAGGGCAAUUCUUGGUUCUCUAACAAUGGAAGGAUGUUCCACUAUAGGAGAAGGGAUAUGAUUUGGUACAAAUGUUGAAGCAGCUCCAAUCAUUUCUAUAUCUUCACUUCUUGCCAAUCUUGUUGCUCCUUGUGGUGAUAAAUUGAAUUGAUGCAUUGCAAGCAUUAACUCCCUCAAUUGCUCUUCCAUUUGUGCCAUUGCACUCUUCAUUUCAGCAAGUCUUGUUAUGAUAACACUUAUAAAAGAGAAGAUGUCUAAUAUCGCUCAAGACAAAUAGAAGAGAGGACUUGAGAACAAAGAAAAUACUAAGAAUAAUAUCAAUUUAGAAGAGGGUAAUCUACAACUUCUAAUAUACUUAUAUCUUAUCAAGAGAAAGGGAUAAUCCACUUUUAAUUAAGAUUAGAAAAAGCUCUGAUAUUAUAAGUGCACUCUUGUCAAUUUGUCAAAGACAAGAACUUGAUAAAAAAAAAAAAAAAAAAGUGAGACUUUUUUUAAAGAAAGAUGAAAAAAUAAAAAUAAAUAAAUAUGUAUAUUAAGAAAGAAAUUGGAAUAGCUAUUGACAAAAGAUAAGAAAACUAAAGACCCUUGAAACUAGACUAGAAGUAAGAAAGGAGUUGACAAGAGUGAAGAAGGCUUCACUCUUGCCUCUAUAUAUACUAUCUACCUAGGAGGUACAUUAUAAUAUUCUAUAGGACCUUCAAAAAUGUGUUGACUUUAUACAACACAUAUCUUAUUUUGCAAGGCAAGUUUUCUAUGUAGACACCACAUAGUUAGCUUGUUUUGCAAGCUAUCAACAUGUGUGGCAUGUGGUUAACUUUUUGACCAAGUUUCUAAUCUAUCAAUCAAGUAUAAACACAUGUAAAGUCAAAACAACAUCUAUAAAGCUUCUAAGAAGCUUUUCUAAAAUAUAUUAUGAAAUUAAUCUACUUUUAUCUACUUCUACUUAUUCAUAUCACCUAGGUAAUAAUUAUAGUAAAUAUAUGUCCGUGACAGAGGGAGAUUUAAUUAUAUUAAAGAUUAUGCAACUACUAUGACCAUUUAUUGCUACAUCUAUAAGAAUUGUUUCAUCAGUAAUAUCUCUAGAAGACAACAGAUGACUAUCUAUGAUUUCUACGUGAACAGAUUUGGUUUUUUGUACUAAUGAUAUUUUAUGACUUUUAAUAAAUUCUACAUCUAAGAAACAAGCUGAGGCUCUUGAAUCUAUCAAGGUGGAGGCUUUAUAAUUAUUAGGUUCUAAAUGUACAUCUAUUAUAAAACAAGGAGAAGGUUUUGAAGAAAAGAUAAGACCUUCAUAAAAAUUUUACAAGAUUCUGGCCACAUAGUCUCUAUUGUAGUUGAAUAAAUUUAUUUUCUAACACAUUUCUUCUUUGACAAAUGUGCUCCUCAUUUUGUGAUUUUUUCUCUUCUUUGAACAAUAUUGAGUAGUAUGUUUAGGUUCUCCACAAUAUAAGUAUAAUCCUUUUUGACGACAACAAGUCUUUUCUUGCUUGGUAAGAGGUUUAAAAUGUACCACAUUAAUUUGCAUAUCCUCUACUUCUGAAUAUAUGUGUUGAAGAGAUGUUGGUAUUGCCAUCGAAUUGUAGUAAUAUUGAAGCUCAUUUUUACGACUUUCAGAUCAAAAUUCAAAAAGUCAAUUGUUGUAUUUUACAGCAAAAUCAAUUGCUUAAUUCAAUGUUUGAGAAUCAGGUAAGUUGAGCAUCAAUUUCUUUACUUCAUAUUAUAAUCCAUAGAAAAAAUGGCAAAUAAGUGCAGCAUCAUUCUACUUGAUAUUAGUUGUAAGUUGUCAAAAUUGUGAAGCAUAUAACAUUACAAAUCAAUUGACUUGACGCAAAAUACGGAUCUUAUUAGUUGCAACAUGAGUUGUAUCAUGAUAUCUAUACAUGGACCAAAAUUUUACCAAAAAUGCCUCCAAAUCAUCCAAUAUUAAAUCUCAUUGUUAACGAAAAGAUGAAAAUCACAAUAGUAUUGAAUAUAAUAGAUGUGUACUAAUGAAUCUAACUUGUGAUCCUGGAGUUGAAUAGCUUUGAGAUUGAAGUUCAAUCACAAAUUGUACUUCAUUUAUAAAUCCUCAAAAUUUGGAUCGUAUACCAUGAAACUUCUUGGAUAAAGUAACUCUUAGUUCUCUAACACUUGAAGGAUGUUCUACUAUGGGUAGAAGGACAUGAUUUGGUGGAGAUACUGAAGCAGCUCUAAUCAUCUCUAUAUUCUAACUUCCUACGAUUUUUGUUGAUUCUUGUGGUAGUAAGCUAAGUUGAUGCAUUGCAAGCAUCAAUUCUCUCAAUUGCUCUUAUAUUUGUGCCAUUGCACUCUUCAUUUCUAUAAUCUCUACCAUAAUAACACUCAAAAAAAUAUCUAAUACCACUCAAGACAAGUAGAAGAAAGGGCUUAAGGACAAAGAAAAUACUAAGAACAAUAUUAUUUUAAAAGAGGGUAAUCUGCAACUUCUAAUAUGCUUAUUUUUUAUCAUGAAAAAGGAGUAAUCCACUCUUAAUCAAGACAAGACAAAGCUUUGAUAUUGUAAGUGUAUUCUUGUCAAUCUGUCAAGGACAUGAACUAAAAGAUGAUGCAUAAAUCAAUGAAAUUCGUGUCAAAGAAUGAGUAACAAAAUAGAAAUAAAGAAGUAUGUAUAUUAAAAAGAAAUUGGAAUGACUUAUUGCCAAAAGACAAGGAAACUUGAGACUCUUGAACUUAGACUAGAAACAAGAAAUAAAUUGAUAAGACUGAAGAGGGCUUCAUUCUUGUCUCUAUAUAUACUAUCUAACUAAGGACUACGUGGCGAUGUUCUAUAGGACCUUCAAUAUGUAUUGACUUUGUAGCAUACAUGCUUUGACUUACAAGGCAAGUUUUUCUACAUGUAGGCCACAUAGUUAGCUUGGUCUUUAAACUAACAACAUGUAUGGCACAUGGCCAAUUUUUUGAUCACUUUUCUAGUCUAAAAAGUCAAUUAUAGACAUCUAUAAAAUCAAAGCAAUAUCUAUGAAGCUUUUAGGAAGCUUGUAUAGAAGAUAUUAUAGAAUUAACUUACUUUUACCUACUUCUACUUACUUCUAUCUAUUUAUACAAGUAAUUACUCGCUUACAUGCGUAUCUCUGUGACAUAAGGUAUUGUGUACUUCAAAAUAUAAAAAAAGCUUGAAUGGCACCAUCUUGGCAUAGUAGUAAUUUUAGAUACAUGGUAGUAUAAAAAAAUUCAUUAUGAGUUUGAAGUAUUAGUAACAUGUAUUUAAUUCUUGUAAACUGUAAUAAUAUUUUGAAAGAUAAGCAUGUAAUAUAACUUUUAAAAUUAUUGAUAUUUUUACAUGUAUUCUUAUGGUGGUAUACACAAUGAGUAGGAUUUUAACAUAGCUACUUGAUUUAGUAAUGUAUUUGGGAUAACUUCAAAUAAUAAUUUUAAAUAACAUAGUAAAUUUGAUGUAUAUUUAUAAAUGCAUGGUGAUAAGGUGAAAUUGAAAUUUUUGCAAGAUAAUUAUCAAGGCAUAAUAUUUUAAAAAAAAAGAAUAAAUACAUGUUUGUAAAAAAUUUACAAUUAUCCAUUUGGAAUUGAAGAUAAUUAAUUAUGAUUGAUUAAAUCAAUGAUUAUUUGAUAAAUAUAAUUAUUAUGCUGAACAUGGAAGAUAUAACAUUUUAAGUUAUAGAAUGAUUAAAGUCAUUGCUUGAUGAAUUGGAAAAUCUUGCAUCUUUGAUGAUUUUAAUUUUUUAAGAGUAUAAUAUUGGAUUAUUAUUAAAUGAAAUAGAUGAUCUUAUUUUUUUUAUUACUUUAUAUGUUAAGGAGUGUGUUUAAAGAAAACCAUUAUCAAAUGGAAUGUACAUUUAUAUAUUUUUAAUUAUCUAAAAUAUAAAGAUGUGUCCAAGUUUGAUAUUAUUGCUAAAUUAAAUAGAUAACCUUACAUCUUUGACAACCUUUAAUAUUUAAGGUUGUUUAACCUUGAAGUCAUUGCCAAAUAAAUUAGACAAUCUUACAUCUUUGACUACCUUAAAUAUAGUGUGGUAUUACAGUUUGGCAUUAGUGGUAAUUGAAUUGAAUAAUUUCAUAUCUUUGGCUAUCUUAAAUAUUAAGUAGUAUAAAUGUUUAAGGUCAUCCUUGACUACCUUUAUACAAAUGAAUUGGGCAAUUGCACAUCUUUGACAAUUUUACAUAUUAAAAAAUAUAAUUAAUAGUCAUUGCUAAAUGAAUUGGAUAAUCUUAUAUCUUUGAUUUUUUUAAAUAUUAAAACGUUUGUACAAUUAACAUCAUUACUAAAUAAAUUGAAUAACCUUACAUCCUUGACUACCUUUAAUAUUGAAGAGUCUUGAUAUUUGGCAUCAUUGUGACAUGAAUUGGACAAUCUAAUAUCUUUGAUUACCUGAAAUAUUAGGAGGUGUUUAAGUUUGGCAUUAUUGCCACAUGAAUAGGACAACUUCACAUCCAUGACUACUUUUAAUAUUGAGUAGUAUUCAAGUUUGGCAUCAUUGCCACAUGAAUUUGGAAAUCUAACAUCUUUAAUUACUUUAAAUAUUAGGAGGUAUUUAAAUUUGGCAUCAUUGCCAAAUGAAUUGGACAACCUCAUAUCUUUAAUCUUUCUUAAUGUUAGAAGGUAUAAAUGGUUGAUGUCAUUGCUAAAUGACUUAGGCAACCUCACAUCUUUGACAAUCUUAGAUGUUAGUUUUUACUUUAACUUAACUACCUUAAAUAUAAGUAAUAACUUAAGAUUAAGAUCAUUAUAAAAUAAAUUAAUGAAUCUUAAAUCUUUGACUAAUUUAGUUAUAUGGAAAUGUGUAUUCUUAAAAUUAUUACCAAAUGAAUUCUGUAACAUUAGAUCUUUAACUUAUUUAAAUAUAAUUAAGUAUCUUAUUUUGACAUCAUUGCCCAAAGAACUGACUGAUCUUAAAUAUUUGAAAAAUUUGAAUAUUAUUAAGUGUGAAAGCUUGACAUCAUUGUCAAAUGAAUUGAGAAAUCUUAUAACUUUCACUAAUUUAACUAUAACAAAAACUACGUGUUUGACUUUGUUGCUAAAUGAAUUAGGCAAUCUCACAUCUUGAAUUAUUUUAAAGAUAAGAAAGUGUCCAAAAUUAAUAAUAUUACCAAAUGAAUUAGACAAACUAUCAUCUUUGACUAUUUUAAAUAUGAAUUAUUAUUCAAAAUUGGAGUUUUUGCUAAAUGGCUUAGAUAAACUCACAACUUUAAUAACUUUGAAUUUUAAAGGUUAUACAAAUUUGACAUCAUUGUUGAAUGAAUUGGGCACACUUACAUCUUUGACUACCUUAAAUAUAGAAGUUUGCAUGUUUUUAGUCUUUCUUCAGAUAAUAAGGAAUAAGAGGCAUUAUCUUCACUAGUCCAAUAUAAGCUUUAUAUAGAGUUAUUUAUUUAUUUAUUUAUUUAUUUUUCUUGUCUUCUAAGAUUUUCUUGAGUUUAUUGCUAAGCUUUAUAAAGUAAUUAGUGUGAAUAUAUAUUAUUCUACUUUAGCAAAAAAAUCCAUUUUGUAUUUAUUUCUCUAUGUAUGUAUAAUUUCUUUUUUCUUUAACAAAGUUAUUAUAUAUAAUCAAAUGCUAUGUAUCUAUAAUAAGAUUAAAGAUAAAAAAUAUUACUAAAAAUAAAUAGAAAAAUUGUAUUAAUCUCUUACAAAGUUUUUGAAAGAAUUAGAUGAUUAAUAUCUAAGAUUAAAAGUGUUGGUUAAGUAACAUACAAUUUAACAUUGAAGAUUUGUUUUAGUAAAGAGAAAAAAAAUGUUUAUUUAUUUAUUACUUUAAAAGAAACACAAGAUAAAGAAGGACAAAUUCAAGAAAGGUUCUAAGAUGCAUACAUAAAAAAAAGGUGGGGUAAAAUAUUUCUUACUUUCAAUGUACUUUAAUGCUUGUUCAUAAACUAUACUGUUAAAUAUAAUUUUUUUGCUUUAAGACUAAGAAAUAGAGAGUUGAAAUUACAACAUAAACUUCUAAACAUCCUUGACUCAGUCGAAAAUCUCACGACGACAGAAUUAUCUCUCAUCAGCACAAGGGUCAUUCUCUAACAGGAACAUGAACGACCGUUGAGAUUUCUUCCAAAUCUAGACAACAAUAUGGACUUCCCAUUGUAUGAUGGCAUGGUAAUCUUAAGCAUUUGCGAUUCCAAGGAAGCACAGAUACCUGAUUUGAAGUAGCUCGAGAAGAGAAAAACCAGCACCUGCAAGAAGGGCGGAGGAAUUUUUUCAGAGAAUGUAUCUAGCUGAAGUUUGCUCCACAAGCUCUCUCUGGAGACUUGGAGUAAGGAGGAGACAUUUGCUUCAUCAGCUUCAAAGGUCUCGUGUCUCCAGUGUUUCCUUUGUUUAGGCUUAGUUGUGUGGCACUCUUCACCUGACGGUUCCAUUUGGAGUAAAUUUUUGGUUGGUGUACAAGGCUGUUAGUCAGGUCAAAGUUACAGGUGAGAACAACGAGAUGACGUGCUGGGAGUUGCUUUUGUAAUGACUUAGUCGAUCAUGUUAACUGAGCAAUAAAUUGGAUUCAUUCUUGAGCUCAUUCCACUGUCGGCUUGUUUGAGGUAUCUUAUUUCUUGUUAAUGCUAAAUAUUGUCCUAAAUAUUGUGAGCUAAAGUAUGUGGGAGUCUAAAGCUGAUGGUAACCUUUGUCGUUACCAAAAAUAGAGAGUGAACUUCUAUGACGUGGACCUGAGAUUUUGAUCUAGUUGAAGUCGGAUGCCUUGGAACACAAAUUAAGGGUAAGGAAUCCAACUGUUCUGAAGCUUUUGAAUGAUAAUGAUGUGAUGGUCGUUGUGGUAAUUUGAUGUCCUGAGGCACCGGCCAUCUGUGAAGAGAUCCUAUGUUGUGUGAUCAGCAUUUAUAUUCAGAAUUUGGAGUUUCUUAACUAAAUCCAAUUAACUGAAUCCAAAGGCUGUUCGGCGUAGGAUCCCCAAGGAUAUAACAACAGAAGAAGAAGACAAGCUCUGCCACUCCGUGACUCGUGGUCGCAAUCGCCUGGAUGUCCUUGUGAGCCAUUAUAGCCCGAGCAGUUCUUUAUAUCCUUAGGGCUGGAAAUAUCCUGAGACUUUUGGCCGUGAGUUUUGAAUAUUUUUCAUGUUGUGAGAAUGAGGGGGUUCUCUUAUUAUUGAUUGAAGAGCAAGAUAAGCAAUUAUGUUGUUGUGCCAAAUUGUAGAGUUGUUUUUUUACCUCCUUUGAUUUAGAUGUUCUUGAGAUUACCUCCUUUGCCCAUGUUGGAGCUCCAAGCAGCACAAGCAUGCUUUUCACGCGUAGUUUCAUGUCGUAAAUAUAUCUCGAGGAUAGUUGCAGCAACAGAAUUGCUCAAUGACCAUUCAACACUUGCUUGCCCGGAAAGCUUUGGAUAAGAUCUGAUGAUUUUUUGAUGAAGAUCUAGACGAGAGCACAUCUUCGCAGAACCAGCAAAACACGACAACGAGGUUUGUGAGGGGCAUCAAUAAUUUUGGAGAGAGGUUGACGAGGACUAUGAGCAAUAUCGAUGAUACAGCUGGGGUGUUGACAUCCAUAGUUGCAGCGUCAGGGAGCUCUUUGGGCAGGAGAUUUUUUUUGUGAGCAAGAUAAGAGAUAGCAGAUCUAGCAAGAAGAGGAGAGAGGAAGGUAUGGAUAGGAAUGUUUGUUUUUGGUUUUUGUUGAGCAUGUGCGGAUUUCCAUGUGCAUUUAUUUUAGUUUUGUUUCGGUAGCAGCUAGCUGAAUGUUGUCACCUCCCUUUUGACACAUUGUUUGAACUCUUACAGUACCAUAUUUUCUCAAUUUUUCCGCUGCACAGAUAUCGCAUUUAUGCAAUUUGGAUAAAGCAUCCCUUCUGGGGAUGAGGAUUUCUUUUGGGGAUAUAUAGGGAUGUAGAUUGAUUAUUUAAGAUGUAGAUCGAUGAUGAUCUAGUGAAGUUAAUUUGUCACAGGGGACACAUGCAUAAUGAGAUGAUGCCUUAGAAGGUGGUGACUAGUAGUGCACAUCAGUGAGUAACUUAGAAACAUAGUUUUGCUGAAAAGGUUACAUAUAGUGAUUAAUACAUGUUUGUGAUUCUUAAUAAUAAAAGAAUGUAUAAUAUUAGUGGUUUGACUUAGAAUUUAAAGUUGAAAGAUUGUAAAUAUUUAAAAAGAAUAACUUUAAAAUAGAAGUUAAUUAGUGCUUACCAAUACAAAAUUGAUGAACUUAUUUGAAUAGUUUAAUAUGUUAAUUGACAAAACUAUAGAAGCAAGAAACAAAAGUCUAAUUGGAAGCAAUCUUGUAUUUUUUUUUUCUUUUAGAAGUGAUAUAUAAUUUUAUAUUUUGAUGUUAAGCAAUAGUUGGAAUUUGAAGCAUAAGAAUAGAAUGUGGACUUUUUGAAUUAAUUUCAUAUAUUAAUAUUUAAAAAUUUUCUUUUGUAUUAUAUAUAUAUAUAUAUAUAUAUAUAUAGAAUUAAGUAUAUCUUAUAAUUUUUUUGGAAUUCUUAUACUUUGAUUGCUUAAUUUUUAUUUGUCUAUUUCUAAAAGAGCUAUGUUACUUACUUUGUUCAAUUCUCUUGUAUAUGAGUCUAUUUUCUUAUAGUUCUUUACUUUAUUUUUAUUUUUUUUUGAAUAGAUUUUAUACAAGUAGUAAAAAAAAAUUGAAACUAAAUAACUAUUAAUAUUACAAUUCAAAUAUAAGAAUAUGCUAAUACCAUUGCAUACAUAGAGUUAAGGACAAGAACUCAAAGAAUGUAAAUAAACAAGCAAGACAUAUAUCAAAGAGAGAUAACAAAAAUAAAAUAAGCAAGUAGGAAUAUUCAAGAAAAAACUAGAAUUGCUAUUGCUAAAGACUAAAAAGCUAGAGAUUCUUGAAAUUAGACUAGAAGUAAGAAAAAAAUCAACAAGAGUGAAGAAGGCCUCAAGAACUUUAUUUUUCUUUUAAAGAUAAUAAAAUUUUAAUUUUAAAAAAUAAUUUAAGCAUUUUUUUUAUUAUUUUUUUUAUUCUACUUAGAAUUUAUGUGUAAUUAAUAAAUUCUAAUAAUCUUAUAUAAAAAGAUAUUAAACUAAUAGCUUUUGUAUCCUGUGUAAAAAUUAUCAAAAAUUUAUAUUACUUUGUAAUAUUUACAAGGUAUGAUUUAAUCAUUGUUUCCUAUCAUAUAUUACAAUUUAUAUCAAAGAUAAGUGUUUUACAUUAGAUAAUUUGAAAAAUAAGUAGAAACAAAUAUAAAUGUGUUCAGUGAUUAAUAUCUUCAAAACUUUAAGAAACCUUUUUAGAUGCAAAUCACAUAUUUACACUCUAGUAGAUAUGCCACAUAGCUAUUAAAACUUAUUUUUGAAGUUUCUUAAUUUUAAGAAGUCACCUCAAAAACAAUCCAAAACUUAAUGCUUGAAUCACAAGCUUUAUGAUUCCCAGAAAGUUUCUAUAAGACCUCCUUGGUAGUUACUACAUAUAGAGAUAAGACUAAAACCAUCCUUAAACUUUUUAAUAUAUUUUAUGUAUUCUAAUUUUAAUUUAAGACUCUCCUCUUUCUUUGUAAUAACUAGUAGCAAUUUUAAUUCUUUUCUAUUUAAUAUUUAUUUUUUAUUUGUCUACUUUCUCUCUUUUAAUAAUACAAGAGUAUAUUGUCAUCUAUCAAAUAUUCCAAACUACUUGGCACUACUUCUAAUUAUUAUAAAAUAUUCACAUCCAUUUAAAUCUAAGACAUUUUAAAAUGAUGAAUCUCUAAAUGCAUUAUGUGAAACCUUUAUUUUUUUUACAAUUUUUAAAUGAUAACUUUUCCAACUUUGAUAGCUUCUUCAAUCUUAAGGACAUUUCUUCUAAAUACUCACAUCUAGCAAAUCAUAAUAUCCUCAAUUCUUUCAUGCUAUCAAAUAUUGUAUCUAAUUUCUUUAGAUUAAAGCAUUCAUUAAAAGAAAAUCUUACAGGCAAAUAAGGUACUCAAAGCUUCUCAAUACAACUUCUAGUUGUGCACACCCAAUCAUGUGCAUAGCAUUUAAUGAUAAAAAUCCUUCAGAUGCAUCAUAUGCAAUUCUUAUAUUUAAUUUUUUCCAAAAAAUCUAUAUAUAUAUAUAUUUAAAAUAAAAUAAAAUUUCUUACAUAACAUAUGCAAAUAAUUCAAAUGAUCUUUAGUAUUAUUUUAUUUGUACUUGAUUUUUCUUUUCUUUUAAAUAAAUAUACAAUCAUAUAUAUUCUUUCUGUUGAUGUACACAAAAUUAAUAAAUUUUGUUUAAAAAAAAUUAAUGUGUGAAAAAUCAUAUGGUUGUUUCAUUUUUUAGAUCAUAAAUUGGAAAUUAAACAAUAUUAUGAUAGAUGGAAUAUAUAUAUAUAUAUAUAUAUAUAUAUAUAUAUAAUUCUUCGACAUUCACUUCUUAUUCUUAUUUUGCUAUGGACAUCAAUGGUACAACAAAAGAAUACAAAAAAAAAAAAAAAAAAAAAAAAAAGAGGUGGGUCUUGUACUUCAUUUAUUAAAUAGUUUUGUUUGAAACAUAUUUAGUGUAAUUUUGCAACACUUGAUUACAAACAGGCUUAUUGGUUAUUCUGACUAAGCAUUAUAGAAAAAUAAAAUAAGGCCAUUCACCACAAACCAAAAGAAGCUCGCAAAAGCCGGAGUUUUGCAUGAAUAAUCAAAAAACAAUUUCAUCAGAAAAAAGCUUUAAAAAAUUUACCUACAACAGGUCUUUUGAUGCGCAUGGUACUCUCCGUGUGCUGUUCAGGUACAUGCCCAGAAGAAAUCCUAGACUAACGGGGACAUAAGAAAUGGGAGUUGGUGGAGUAACUGUUCAAAGAUGCUGGUUUUAGCAACAGUUCAUUUUGCGGGUUCUGGCAGAGCACUAACACUGCAGAGGUAUCCUUUGCCUCGUCGGUCGCUCUUGCUUCAGAUUCAGAGUACCUGAUUCGCAUCAGACCCAUCUCGAUUUCGAGCCAUAUCCAACUUACAUGCUUCAUCCUUAUAUUGUCUGAGAUCAUGUGGUAUCUUCUCUCGCGACCCUUCUCAUUCAUCAUACAUGACAUGGUUCUGAACACUUUCUCACAUCACUUGCUGACAAAUUCUUAACGGCCUUCGAUAAACUGAGUGAAGUCGUGGUGUGUGCUUUACUUUCACACUGUAGGGAAGACUAAAGGGACCUUGCCAGGAUAAGGUUCUGUAGAGGCUGCACCGCAUUUGUAGACCUCUCGAAAUGUAAAAUAUUUCCAUCCAUUGCCCGACAGACAUGCACCGUCAUUUUCCUAAAUAAGGCGCAUCAGGAACUCGUUUGGGGUCUACUCCCAGAGCAAGCUAACUCGUUGUCCCGAGAGAACUGAUUGCGCUCCAGACGCCGGAAUUCAUUGUUACUUGCAUGCAUGUCAUCAGCCUCCACCUUCAAACACACUAGUGAACCUCCAGUAAUCAGGUCUUCGAAGACCUCAUCGGCUGUGGAUUCUCAUUUCAAUGGCCCUCUCCGAACAGGAUCUUUGGUCAAUGUGUCAGACUCAGCCGCCUUCGUAGCUGCUGGAGAGGCUGUGGAAGUACCUGGGGCACGAAACCUCUGACCAGGCUCCUUGCCACCAAUCUCAGGCUCAAUCUCAGCUUUCACAUCUUGCGCAUCCUCACCAAUAAAUCCCAUCUCUUCUUUCCACUUCGACCACACCCUCUUCAGCUUUUCCAUCAUUCGGGGCACUUCGGGAUUAGUUUUCUGAUCGGCGAAAUACAACAUUACAACUUGUUCUGAUCGGUUUCUGGAUUCCUCGAGAGCAGCCUGGAUCUCUGCACAAGUGUUCCUCAGAGCAACAAUUUCUCUUUUCCCUCCUAGUGAUCUCAUCCUGCUUUUGACCUCAGACGUUCAAGCUGGGACAUAAAUAUCACCGACAGCACCUCCACCUUCAAUCUUGACAGACAUCGAAAGACAAAUUACUUCUGUGUAUGGUACAGAGAUUUCAUCACUAGUUGGGGGCUCCAAUUGAUGGGUGUUCGAAUGAAGCCUUUAAAAUCUAACCAAAUUCUCCUUUUUCUUGACAAAGAUUGGAGCCGUCUCAGGUUGCAUACGAGGACAUUCCACCCUGAAUCGAUUCUUUCGGUGGUUGCAUGAAUGGCACGUCUAUCAAAGUGGUGGACGUGUUGAUGUGAAAGAGUUGCUCCUGCAGAAGUAGAACAGCAUGCAGUGAUGCCUCAUAUCGUGAUUGCCUUGGUGAAGAAUUUGUAGAAAUAUUUGUAAGAAACUCUAGACAACAUGCAACAAUAUGUCCUACUUUAAUUUUCAUUCAUCACAUUGUUGUCUCUGAUUAUGCUCUCCAUGUAACUGUAAUUGUUGCAUUAUAGUUUUGAUUAAUGAUUGUCUUAAUAGACAUGUAUUGUUCUAACAAUCCUAUUUUGUUUGAUGAAUUUAUGUUUGCUUCCGUGAGAAAAACCCACUUUCCAUUAACAUGAACGUUGUCCAACAUGUCCUUAAAAUGAGGCUCUCCAGCAACAACAGUGUCCGCUUCCAGCAUCGAUAGGCAGUACUACAAUUGCUUCAGCUUGUUGUUAUACAUAGGAUUAUUAACUGUAAGAAAGUGAUAAAAUUUUGUAAUAUCUCUGAUAAGAAUAGUUUUUAUAAGAUUUUAUUUAGACAAUUUUGUAACUACAUUUUAUUAUAUUUUUUCAUAAUUCUCAUGUUUAUGUUGAUGUAAAGUUAAUGAACUUUCAUUUGCAUAUUUUUAUUUGGUUAUCUAAAAUUAUAGCUUGGUUUGGUUUUAGCUACUAGCUUUGUAUGCAACAUAUUGAAACAUAGAAAGCAUACUCCACACAAGUAAGUUAGGACCAGCAAGGUUGCACUAUAACAAAUAGAGUGUGGUAUGAGAUAAUUCUUCCCAUGCCAACCCUUUCCUUAUAUACUAGUACCAAGGUACCAAGUGCUACAAUCCAUAUGGGAUAUCUCCUAGGACCAGCCCUCCCCUUGUACUCUAAUGUACUAUAGACCAGCACCCUACCUUAUGGGAUAUCCUUAACAACACUUGUACUCUAUUGACCAUUAGCAACUACUUAAAGAGUUCUAUUCUCAACACUCUCACUUUGCUAUUGGUCAAUUAGCUAUCAAUCCUAAUGCCUUACUCAACUUGUUGUGUCCUUCUCUAACUAAGGCUUUUGUCAACAAAUCAGCCAUCAUGUCUUUGGUUUCACAAUACAUCAUAUCAAUAACCUCCAUCUCUAUCUUCUCUCUUAUCAAAUGAUGCUGAAUAUCAAUGUACUUAGUUCUUGCAUGAUGCUUUGGAUUCUUUCCAAAAGCAAGACAUCCUUGAUUGUCACACCUCAAUGGAGUAGCUUCAAAUUGCACAAGUCCAAUAUCUUCCAAUAACAACGUCAACCAAAUUGCCUCCAUUGCUUCAUAACUUGCUGCCAAAUACUCCGCCCCUAUUGUGAACCUUGCAAUGUUUGGUUGUCUAUUGCUAUUCAAAGAUAUGGCUCCCACUCAAACAAAGAAUACAUAGCCCAUUGUUGACCUUCAAUCGUUUGCAUCUCUCUUAGAUCUAAGCACCCACUUACAUCCAAUUUGUUGUGGAAAGAUGUGGUUCUUUCACCAUUCACCUUGUGGUCUUCUCUCACGUGUUGGAUAUCUUCUUUCAUGCAAAGAAGAUGAGCCUUCUUGCACCUCUUGCUGCCUUGUAUGACUCAUGGAGUGCUUUCUCUUACUCAUUUGUUGGUAUUCUUCAUCUUCAUUCUCUUCAUUGUCCUUGUUGUAUCUUGCUGGAAUUGAAGUCUUCAUAGUAUUGGGCUCUUCUAUCAUGGCAUCUUCCUCUUCUUCUUCACUUUGAGAAUGCUCUUCUUCAUCUUCUUGUUUGUUUGCUAGAAUUGAAGAUGUGUCCACAAACACACCACUACUCCCACUUGGACACAUCUCCCACUUUUCACUACCACUCAUAGAUGGUGUCCUCAUGGAUCCACAAACAUCCGAAUGCACAAGCUCCAGCAAUUGGUUUGCUCUUGUUGUAACUCCUCUAGGAAAUGGUGUCCUAUGUUGUUUGCCUUGAAUGCAUCCCUCACAAGCAAGAUUCAUCGUAGAAUGGCCAAGGUCUAUGCCAUUUACCUUGGAUUGAAGCCCUUUCAUGCUUUUGGCAUUCAAAUGCCCAAGUCUUUGAUGCCAAAUGCCCAUCUUCUCUUCAUUUGAUGGAAAUUCAGCAAAGGCAGCAACCUCCACUCCAUUGAUCCUCUUGCAAUUGAUAAUAUAGAGAUUGCCAUUCCUAGUCCCUUUUGCUACUUCUUUGCCUUCCAUGGUUCUCACAAAACAUCCAUUCAUGUUAAAUUGCACUUUGUACCCAUGAGUUAUAAGUUUACUCACCGAAAGGAGGUUCUUCUUCAUCUUUGGCACAUGCAACACAUCCUUGAGAGUGAUUCUCUUGCUUAUGGCCUUCACCACCACCUCCACUACAAUGGUGCCUAUUCCAAUGGCUUGUACCAUACAAUUAUCACCUAACAAAACGUUGGUUGCUUGAAUUGAUUGAUAAGUGUUAAAUGAACACUUGUAUGGAGUCAUGUGUUUGGUACAUCCGGAAUCCACAAUCCAUUUGCUCAUAUCAAACAUGGAAGGAGUUUGUUUUGCCAUGAAUGCAAAGUCUUCACCUCCAUGAUCAUGAAAAGCAUUGUUGGCAUUCUCUCUUUCUCCUCUCUUAGCCUUGAAACAAUUUCUAGCAAAAUGGCCUGGUUUUCCACAAAUGUAACAAGUUUUAGGAGGAUAACAUUGAAAAGGGGCACUUGCCUUACUAGGUCUUGUAAAUAGUGCUGAUUGCUCCCCAAUAGACUCCUUUUGCUUUCUUUUGGUCACUUCAUGGGCUAGUCUUGCCGUGACAUAGUCCAAAGUGAGGUCUUUCUUUGAAAUGGACUCCAAUGCCACAAUGAGGGAGGAAUAGGAGUCCGGAAGGCUUGAGAGCAAUGUCAUCACAACAUCUUCUUCAAGUAAAGGCUUGUCAACAACAGCAAGUUGGUUUGCAAGUGCUUUUACCUUAUUCACAUGAGCCAUGAGAUCUUCACCUUCUUCUAUCUUCACGGUGAAGAACUUUUGCCUUGACCAUAGCACAUUGAAAAGAUUCCUACUCUCAUAGACAUUGCAAAGAGUCUUCCAUGCAUCUGCUGCUCCUUUGCAAGAAAUGACAUGAGCAAAGUUGGUUUCAUCUAAGUUGGUGGCAAUUAUGCCAAAAGCCUUCUUCUCUCGUCUUUUGAAGUCCUUUUGCUCCUUCAUGCUUGCCUCUAAUCCAGGUGCCUCUUCCUCCUCACAUACUAUCUCCCAAAGAUCCAAUGACGCCAAAAGUAGCUCCAUUUUGGCCUUCCAGUGGUGAAAGUUGUCACCUCUAAACUUUUCUACCAUUCUUAAGCUAUCACUCUCAAAAGAUGCCAUCUCAAGCUACAAGUAGGUCCAAAAAUCUCUUGAUUUGGAGUUGUAAUGCAAAAGAUAUGACUACUCAAAGAUUGCUGAACUACAAACUCAGAAUUCGCUGUUUUGCAACUUUUUGCAUACUUUGAGUCCAAAUCACGUCUAAAUGGUGGGAAAUGCUAUGACAUGUAAUUCUAUGGCUUUCAAACAUCUCCCUUACAUCACCUCACUCAAAAUGACUCAAUUUCUCAUAAAACUCUCAAAUACUAGUGUUACUUCAGCAAAGACACUAUCAAGGUCUUGCACUAACCUCAUACACUCACAAAUCCAGGAGUAAUGACUUCAACAAAACACUAGUAAUACUAUACCAUAAGAUCUCAACCACCAAACAAGCAACAAAGAAAAUAAAAUGCAAGAACAACUUACUUGGUAAGAGAAUGUGGGCCCAUAACCUAUUGAAACAUAGAAAGCAUACUCCACACAAGUAAGUUAGGACCAGCAAGGUUGCACUAUAACAAAUAGAGUGUGGUAUGAGAUAAUUCUUCCCAUGCCAACCCUUUCCUUAUAUACUAGUACCAAGGUACCAAGUGCUACAAUCCAUAUGGGAUAUCUCCUAGGACCAGCCCUCCCCUUGUACUCUAAUGUACUAUAGACCAGCACCCUACCUUAUGGGAUAUCCUUAACAACACUUGUACUCUAUUGACCAUUAGCAACUACUUAAAGAGUUCUAUUCUCAACACAACAUAGUUUGUAGAUCAUUAUAGGUUGUAACUUAUGCAAAAGAUAUAAAAUUUUUAAUUAAUCUUUUUAAUUUAUAAAGUAUAUAAUAAUUUCUUUCCUUAGUAAGCUUAGACUAUUGAUGUUGUUUAACAUUUUAAAUGCUAAACAGAAAUUUUAUUUAAUUUUAAAAAAAUAUGGCUAAAUUUCAAAAAUAAUUGAUGCAUUACAUCUCUUAUAUAUGUGACAUAUGUAUGUACUAAAUAAUCAUUUAGUAUUUCAAUUUUAUUAUUAUCUAACAAUAUUUUAUUAGAUGUUAAAUCUAUAAGGCUUUGAAGUACCUUAAGUGCAAGAUUUUAUUCAUAGUCAUAAUCAAGAAUAUUUUAUCUUAUAACAUAAUUUUAUUAAGAAGGAUUACUAUCUAAUUAUUUGCCAUAUGUUUUGAUCCAAUACUUUUGGGUAGAUAUUUUGUUGUUACAUUUACUUUGAUAAUGGCAAGGUUUUCACAAUAGACUUCUUCUAUCAUUGAUUUCAAACAAGGUUUGAAGUAUUCUUAUGUAAACAGAUUUAUCUUAGUGUCUUAAAAUUUCAAGUAAAUAUACAGAUUCUAAUUGCUUAAUAACAACCACAUUAUUUCACAAAUUUUCAGAAGUUUUAUGCUAAUUUUUAUAGAUAAAAAAGAAUAAGAAAUCUUCUUACAAAAGUCUCUUAAAAAAUUAUAGAUUUUUUCUUUUCUUUUUUUAUAAAUAAUAAAUAUAAUAAUUAUAUACAAUAAAAGAAAGAAAAUUUUAAACAUUUGUUCCAGUUAUAACUAAUUCUUGUUCAAUUGUCUUUACUCACUAAAAUAUGAUGUUACUUUUACACCUUAUCACAAUUUUUUUUUCUUUCAUUUUCUAUAUGAUAUGCUUAUAUAUAACUAGAUUAUAUAUUUGUGUAUUAUUUAACCAUGAGGUGUUAAAAGUCCAAGAUAUUAUUUUAAAAAUCUACUCGUUUCUUUGGUAUAAUAUAAUUUCUUAAAAAUAAAGUACAUAAAAAAAUAUUUUAUUAUCUAACUAUUAUUAUCAUGUCAGACUUCAAAUAAAAUAUGUAUUUUUUCACCAACAUACAACUGAUUAUAACUUUUAAACCCUCCUUAAACUUUUCCAAAACCUGUAGAUAUAAUUAUAAUUCUUUUUAUAAAAAACUAGAAACUAGAAAUUAUAAUUACAUAUAUUAUUAUCUACAAUUUAGGUAAAAAAUAUAUUAAAUAUAAGAAUAUAUAUAUAUAUAUAUAUAUAUAUGUGUGUGUGUUUUAUAUCCAUGGAUAAUUUAUAUGUAUAUAUUUGUAUUUAAAUUUAAUUUUUUUUCAGAAAAUUGAAAAGUGAUAGCAUAUUAUAAAUGAGGCUGUGUUUUUUUUUUAUAAAUUACAAUAAAAAAAGAAUCCAAGAAAGACAACGUUUUUGUUGAAUGCUUCCAGCUUUUAGUUGUGUGCAAUAAGACAUGUUUAAUAUCUGUUAACUUGAAGCAUAGUCAUCAACUUUUUGAAUAAUAUGUAUAAUAAUGUUAACAAGAUGUAAGACUAUUAAAAUUACAACUUGUAUUGCUAAUUCUAGAAUAAUGCUACGUGACCCACACACAGGAUUUGCGUUUGGCCACAACUCACAUCUAAACACACACAGAAUGAUGUUCAGAAAGCCCAUAUAAAUCACAACUUCUUCAAUGAUGGGUCUUCUUCGCAGCAGAACGUACUUCGGCGAUGCCAUCAGUCAUGCUUGCGUUGCGCGGUGAACCUCACAAUUGUCUGCAAAGCUUUCAUUUACUUGCCUGGAGGAUUACAACUCGGCAGGUGUGAAGUCCGUGAUAUUGUGGUAAUCAAAUCCAUCCCCGAGUGCAUGAUACUGACUGACUUCAGUGUCGCGAUGAGUUGUGGCUGUAAUUCAGGCCGCGAAGCGAAAUGACCUCGUGAGCUUCGGAAAAGUGUGUGUGCGCGCCGUAAGGCGCUGAAACAUUCGGAGGCGGAGUGACGGGUCGGAAUCGGAGGAAUACGGGUUGCUGUUGGACAGGUGAUAUUCAGAGACUCGUGCGCGUUUGUAAUUCUUGACGGCGGAGGAAUGUAUGGCGCCAGCAGUCCCGCGGAGGGUUUAGGGUUGGGAAAUCGUGAGUAUUGAGGAGUUGAGGAUUGCGUGAUCCUUUGGGAAGAUUGAAUCUGAAAGAGUGGUUAAAUUAGCGUUUACUUGACACAAGACAGAUGAGGAAUAUCGAAGCGAUUCGACAUGCUUGUUGACGUCUAUGCGUAAGCUGGCAACAAGAGGCUCAUCGGAGGCAACCUUGUGUUUUGUCUGUUCUGGGAGAAAAUUAGGGUUUUGGUCCCUCAGGUGAUGAGCGGGAGUUGGAAUUUGGAGCUUUGGGACAAGGAGUGGGCUUUUUGUAUCAGUGUCAAGUACUGGUGCUCAGGGAGUUUUCUUUUGCAGCAUACAUAUUCGGAGUUGAGCUUGUCUUACAAAUUCUCUGGGAUCUGUACGCCUGGGCUGCUUAAUUUCUCGUCUGCCUAUUCCUAGGGGAACGCUGUUACUUGCCUUCCUCAGCCGUCUUGUGCAUGAUCCUAUUCUCUUCUAGCUCUCUGCUCUCGUUUUCUUCUUUUGAAUAUAUUCGAUACAAGUUGGUGACAGCGGUUGGUGAAAGUUAGCGAACAUGGACAUCAUAGCUCAGUUGCAAGAACAUGCUAGUGCGAUUGCCUAUAUAGCAUUUAAUGCAGCAGGAACUAUUCAAAGGGAUGCCCCUCCGUCGCAGUUGGCCCAGGAUUACCCUAAGCCAACUGGGAUUACCACUGAAGCCCUCGAGCAGCCGAAGGAGAUGGCUACAGCUUUCGUGCAGGCUGUUCAGCGCUUCGAUGCCUUAGUUUCAGCUUUACCUGAUAUUCAAGGUGGCGAAGAAGCGCAGUUAAAGCGAAUCGCAGAACUGGAGGCUGAGAAUGAAGCAUUUGGCCAGGAACUGCAAAGAGAGCUGGAAGCGGCUGAUAGCGAGUUGAACCAGAUCCAAGAGCUAUUCGACAUGGCGACUGAUAACUGGUUGCAAAUGAAGCCACCGUAAUUAUAUACACUAGUAUCCAUGUAAAGGUCGGUCACUGAGGAACAGUUUUUGAGGUUUGUGCUUUCGGUUGUAGAGUUAUACUGGAUCCCUUGGAUUUUUUUGUUAAAGCAAUGUAGUUGCUCAAGAUGCUUGAGAUUCAGACUUAAUUGAACAAACUAUUAGGUUGGACAGUAAUUUCUUUAUCAUGUAGUGUCCUCUAAAGCCUUUGUUACUAUCAGGAGUUUGAAACGGUGUACUCGUUUGAGCGUCUUGCUUAGCAACUUAUGAGAUUGGAUUUUGGGAGGUACUGUUUGCGUGCAAGAACUCCUGCAACAGCCAAGAGUAGGAGGGCUAGGAGAUUUUUUCCCCUAGAAGUGUUCUCAAAGUGCGAAUUCUCUCUCCAAUCCCCAUUUCACGAUCGGUAUUCUGCUAGGAACCUUACUACAAAAUUAGUUGGAUGUAUGAGCGAAGUAUCGUUGAAAGUCACAAAGAGGUUUUGUCCUGGUGCAAAUCACAGGUAACUUUUCACAUCUCAUUCUUGGGUGCCUCAGUUGUCGUGUAUCAACUACAGUUUCCUGGUCCACUUCGCCUUCUCCUUCUUGCAAGAAGAUACGCUGCAGGUGGCAUGCCUCUGUGACGGUAAUUGAUAAGACCGGAAGGUAAUGGGUUCAAUGUACUUAUUUGGCUGGUACAAACUUGUGAUUCGACACCCGAGCAAAACCUACCCACUCAUCGAACAAAGGUUGAUCAUGGAGGUUGACUACAUUAUGUAUACAUGGUGGAACUAAUUACCUAGAGAGCAUUCGUUGUUGCUCAAGGUCCUUGAAGAAUAAACACAUAUUUUUCAUUUUAUUUUACAAUGUGCAUUUGUGGCUGGGUUUAAGGUUGGAGGUUCAGAGGGAGGGAUUAAAGUUUGGGACAUUAAGAGUUAAAGUGUAAGAUUAGGGUUUUAAAUCGAAGGGUUAGAGUUUAGGAGGCAAACAAUUGCUUUAGCAACUGGCCAGAUUGCCACCUGCCCCUUGCCCCAAAUGAACGUCGUUCGACAUUCUUCGGUGGAGGACAUCCUUUCUAGAGAAUCCCAAGAGAUGACUUGUCGUUUCACCAGAGAGAGUAUUCAGAUGCUACAGGACACCCUGUGUAAUUUCUUGUAUCACACCAGACAGUAUUUUCGUAAGUGGGAGAAUGCACGUGUGAGAAACAUCUCGUCGGAAAAUCCUCGCUUAACAAACAUGAUACACAGGUAAAAAAGAAAGAAAGAAAGAAAAAGUGGGAGUUAUGUUGAGUACUUCAGAAGCAAUGUCGCUUCAAUGGUUCUAGUGGUACAAAUCAUUGACCACACACAGUGAUGAUCUAACUAGCCGAGCUUCUCGUUUUGGAGAACGGCCAGAUCUUCUAAAUGAGGCUGAUACAGUAUACUUUCAAUAAUGCGACGAUAAGAACAAAUGCCGCCGGCAGUUCGGUGUAAUCUACACAGCCCUGUUUCAGGGCUCUACAAUAAAACAUGAAUUGACUACACUACCCUCGAAAUUAUAGGCUGUCCGUAAAUAAAGUAAAUUGAAUCAUUCUAUAUCAACCCUGAAUUGAAGUAAACCUUGUCACGUAUCUUUUUUGACCGCGGAGACAACCACACCCCAACAAAAAUACCUCAAGAAUCCACAGCACCUAUGUUUCCGUGUUGAACGCACCUUUGUGAGCAGCAUCAAAGAUUAUCUGUCUUUCUGCCUGCUUGUAGUACAAGGUUGAUGGAGCAACUUCAUCAGGAAUAAUGGGGGUCAAGGGAUCAAGGGAAUCAUCGUGCAAUAAGCAAUUCAACACUUAUCGGUCAGACGCCUCACGGCCGUUUUUGCCUUCAUCCCCUUCGUUGGAGAGAUUAUGCUGUGGCUUUCGUUGUUCCUGAAGCACCUCUGACUUAGGCAGGAAAUCCGACUGUUCCGUGGUUCCACUUCCUUGCCUCAAGAGUGGAGCCUGAAUCGGGGAACAAUGCCUUUUCACGUCUGUUCUUACUUCUGCUGAGGUGCUAUCUUCGUGUUGAUGGUGCCAUGAAUGACGAGCUUGCUCUUGCAAUCCCUGAAAUUCUGAAUGUGCUUGAUUGAAAGCUGCAACAGUCGUUCCUCCCGCUUGAUCUGAGCACCCGUGUAAAUACUCCUGGUUUCUAGAAGUUUCGCGUUUUCGCUUUUCUAAAACUAUGUGACUUGACCGGCUGGAGUUAGAAUCCAGUGCGGAUACUACACUUUCGGUGCUGGACCUUGCUUUAGGAUCCUCUCCAUCCGACUUUGCCGUGCUUUUGAAUGGUGAGGUUCCCUCGUGACCACUGGAGCUGCUGGUACUGGCAUGUAAGCGGGUCCGCACAGGAACUCCUUCAUAUUCCGGGGGUGGUUGCUCCUCGGAGCCCUUGUAUGGCAGGGAUUUGAACGCACUCAACUGUUGCUGAUUCCCAAAUCGAAAGGAAAUAAAUUCUCCUGAGGGUAGGGAUGACAAAGAAGAUGACAGCAAAAGAUUGCUACCAUUUUUCAUGGAUGUCCCAUUUCCUGGUGAGGAUGCAUUCCCAUCUAAUAACAUCGAGGGUAAAGCACCGGAAGUAAGGUUAGGAAUUGAUUGCAAAUGAGAACCUUUUAAAGCAAAGGGACCUGCCAGCUCUAAAUCAACUCCAAAAAGCCUUGUUCCACUGCUAGUGCUCGGCGCUUCUUCACUCUGUGAUGAUGUGCUGCUGCUGGAGGCGACAAGAGACCUGUCAUGGAUAUUGGGACCUCCAUCAACAUCUUUUAAUUGCCGUUGUGGUCUUUCAAUGCCUGCAAUGAAAUCUUCCGUAGCCGCGUAAGACUUUAAAGGCAAAGACUGUAGCCCAGGAUUGAAAUUGCUGGCUGCCAUGUCUGGUAAUCCAGAGUCUUGAGUGCGUCCCGGAUUACCAGAUCCCACAGACACUCCUACGGCUGACUCCAUCAUUUGGCUGUAGAUGCCGCCAUACAACAGUGUUUUCUCCAUGCUUUGCUGGAGAUUGGAGGAAAUCCCUGGUACUUGGGGAGCAGAAAAGUUGAAGGGCUGCCACAUCGAAGGGUUGAAGGGGCUGCUAGGACCCUUUGAUGGUGCAUAAGAAUUGUUGCAGGAUGCAGUCCACGCACUUCGAAACGUGGGUCUAUCGGACGCGGAAGUUCCUCCUGGAAUCACCUGUUUUCGACGAAAAUCAAUAUAGAGUUCUUGGCUUGGACCUCGCUCGAAGGACACAAUAUCACCUGCAUCAAGCUUCUUCUCCUUCACGAAUCUACUCCAGCCCUUGGUAAGCACGUAACUUUGACUGCUAUUCCAGUAUGAGUAUCGGAAUCGCCAAUGUUUCCCUGAAACAUCUUCAAAGGAAAGAGUCUGCCCAGGCGAAUUGGCGGACAAAUCAAGAGGGAAGCACCGUUCGGCAUGCUGCUUGGGGAUGACGAGCCUGUUCAGCUUACCGACGUCGCUGGGUGUCACUGCCUUAUCAAACAAAUGCUCUCGUGUUGGUGCGCACUCUUUUAAAGUGUUUCUAGGCAAGCUGGUUGGAGGUAGACACAUUGAAGUAUCACCAGCAGAUGCGUUCGGACCGAGGCUAAAAGAUCCAACAGAUAGUCCGGUCUCUGGAGCUGAUGUUCUACACAUUUCAAGAGCUCGACGUCGUGCUCUGACUGCGUUUGCAGCAACAUCCAUAUUAAAGACCUUCUUGCACUGAUCGAGCUCUUCAUCAUAAGUAUGACGCCGUAACAUUUCUACAAUCUGUUCUUUGCUGUGGGAGCGCAAGAACUCGGAUUCGUAAUCCGAGUCUGUUACCGGUCGAAAGUUGGUCAUUGCAUCACGACCACGAAACUUGAUGGCAGCCCUAUCAUACGCACGUGCAGCUUCUUCCUCCGUGUUGAAGGUUCCCAACCAGAUGCGUUGGUGUUUCUCAUAUAUCUGAGCCCCCCAUCGUCCAUUUGAUUGGGGUACGACACCGCGGAAUUGCGAAGAGGGCAACUUGCUGUUACUUUGCUCCCGGACACGAUCGUCACCAUAAUCCGAGUCGCUAGAACCUGAAAGGCUCGGACCGCUAUGUGUUGGUUCUAAACUACCCAUUUGUCCUACAUCCCAAGUACCCGAACCUGAAAAGCCAUUGGGGCCCAUGUGUGUUCGUUCCAGACCUCCUGAUCCACUCCUUCGUCCGACAUCCCAAGAUCCUGACGGCCAUUGCUUCAAGUCUGCUCCACGAGUAUACUCUGCCUCCAGUCUAGAACCUGUUGCAUUGGCACAAUCUGAAAUUCAGUUCAAAGAAUUUGUUGAAGCGUGCGUAGAAUUAGUCAAGGACGACGCCCGACAAGUGAUCUGAUUCUGAAUCUUCUAUUACAAUCACAAGCUGGAUACCAUACACCAUGAUCCAAUUUCCUCUCGCAAUUGAAUAAUAGGAUCUCUUGAUGGGCUAAAACCGAUGGCCAUCUUACCUAAGAGAUUCAAGGGAUGACUCCUCUCUUCAAAAUCGCUUAGGUUGGAAGUGGGGUAAGCACGGUGCUCCUCAACAGCAACCCUCAAAAAACUCUCAUUUUCCUUGCCUGAUGAAUUAUGCAUUGAGUCAUGUGAUCGACUCAUAUCGUGAUCGCCGUAGCGAAGAAAUCUCGGAGCCCCAUUAACCCGGAAUGCAGUGGCAGCUGCUGUUUCUGCAAUAUCUAGCGUAGCUGUCUUCUCCUCGACGAAACGAAACCCUGGAACAGGAGAGGCAGGAGAGAUAUUUCUCACAACCGCAACAGGAGAAGCAUCCUUUCCCACUUCGCUUGGACCUUCAAUAAUUUUAGAGCUCGAGACAUCACUAUCUGAUGAAGAGGCUGCCGAAUCGAAGUUGUUCAGUCGCAAAGUAACAUCGGGCCCAUGAUGUGGUUCGCUGGACAAGCGAGACGCGGGUUUGGACCACAUACCGACCGCCUUCUCAUCCUGGAAGCAGCUGUAGGCAUUAAAUGCGAUAUUCCUAUGGCACAUUGUGGACAUGUGAUGACUUUACACCUAUACUGUAACGUAAGUUCCUCCCAUAGCACUGUACUGGAGAUGCUGCAGUAUAAUAAACCACACCUACUGCAGAAGUGAUAAUCAUUUUCAAACGCAGCAUACAAUUCCUACUCAAGAAAUAAAUCUGCUAAAUAUGACACCCCGACUUACCCCCCCUCUAAUUCAUGAAUCAUAUGAUAAUUCAUUGAUCUAUCGUGAUGACUAUGCAGUUCAAACAGUUAAUCUGCUUUCUAGAAUGCAUUUCAUGUUGUAAAAAGCAACAUAUUUGAGAUCAUAGACUAACCUUGGCAUUCAGACACAUCCCUUUGCACUUGUUUAAAACCAAGGUUACUGGACAUGGUGGUCUUUGACUGCGAUGACGUUCUCCUCGACAACCCCCCUACCUUGAAGCAGAAGAUUGAACAAUCGCAAGUUGAUCAUUAAGUAGUCCAGAUCCAACUGCUCUGCACUUUACAAUGACCGGAAAUAUUAGAAUCGUGUAGACCUAUUACAGAAGACAGGAAGUGUAUAAUUGAGAUAAACUACAUGCAUUGUAUCUUAGUGCAUACUAACGCUUCCAUAUUUCUAGUGGAUUAUGGCGACCUGCCGCAAUCUUAGAUGAUAGAAUUUCAGAACUUCCUGAUGUGUAAGGAUGAGUAUUUAUAGUUUAUAUCUACCUUUCAAUUCAUGGCACUUAGGUUUUAAACAUCGAAAGUGAACAGGAAUUUCAGUAUGUCAACGCCUAGACACCUCCCCCUCAUUUUUUUCUAUUUUGGCUGAAGAAAUCGAUAAGCAGCACUGAGGGACUAGCAGAGGUUCUACAGGAGAUAUUGAUUCCUGAAUCCAUGGAUCAUUCAGUUAUCUUACAAUACACCUUUCCUUUUAGUAUCAUGAAUGCAGCUCUGUCCCAAAAUCACUUCCACAACAUAUAUUGUGGGCCGUGUAAGACUUAAACCAGCUCAUCCGAAGGCAGCCGUAAAACUUUACUAACAGUUCAAGGACUUGGAACACAUGUUCUUUGAAGAGAGCAGCAUUUGGAGGCUCUUAGAUCUACGUGUUCGCACUAUAGUUGACACCCGCAAAACCAAAUUAGUAAGCAGGAAAGCAAGUCCAAGCAGUAAUAGCUGAUGUUUCCAGCUUGUGUCAUGAAGUCGGAUGAUGUUACCAGUUGAUAAUUCGUCAACUCCCCUUCUCUACCCUAGGGGAAAAGGCUGUCGAGCCGCGGCAGCUUCUAAUCGCAAUCAGAAUCAUGUUCUCACAGCCCUUAACUAAAAUGAGCGAGCAAUGCUAACCGUACUAUGUUAUCAAUCACAUCGCGAUUCGAAAUGAAAUAGCUGCACAAGAACUACUACAACCAAGCUAACUGGCCGCUAAUUUCGAACGGUGGCGCCAUGCAGCUACUUGCUUUGCUUCCUAGUAUCUCUUAGAAGCUGCGAAUUGAGUUGCAGCGGUCAGUCUCGAAGUGAACACGAGUCUAGCAAGAGAGAGGCGUGAGAGGACAAUCUCUUGUAAUAUCCUAAGCCACUACAAAGAGAAUGUUACCUUAUUCUACAGCUAGUUGGACUGAAAUUACUUUGGACGGAGUAUUCACCCAGCAAGAUUAAUUUCCCAAGAGCAGGAAUGUUAUGAGGCUUGAAAAGAGCUGAUUUCACCUCAAUGCUGGAUCUUAGAGAUGUCUAAGUGGAACACCGCUCCGAGCACAACUAAACAGAAUACAAGCUUUCGCCGUAAGCGUAAGCAAGCUUCUUCUCUUAGAACUAACCCUGUGGACCACGGCGUAGGAGCUACGUGACGAAAAAGCGUUGACCACCAAAAAUGGUAGACUAUGAACAAUCACAAAUUCAAUCGCCAAAACUUCACAGCCACUGCAACACUGGCGACAAUUUAAGGAAAUCCGAUCCCCAGAGCACAGAAACCAUGUGCCAUUCUAUCCGCGAAAUCGACUUUACCUGUGGUCGCUUCACCUGCCGCUCAUGGCACUCGACCAUAGCAACGUUGCAAUCCUGAGGUCACCUACCACCUCUCCACCUAGAAGGUGCACAUCCACGACCUGAGAUUUCCCCCCCCUAGCACAACCGCGUCACAAGAUCGUCCGAUCCCCUCCGCAUGUCCACCGCUACAAUGCACUUCACCACACGCCACACAACCUCAACAACCUCCGAUUCCAGCCGUUGUACAGAAAGCUCUUCAUCCACAGAAGUGCAAGUUCGAGCUCAAAAACCAACUGCGGAGGCUGAGCCGCUUCCGACAACUGAUUUGCAGAGGACAAACAAUGCAUCAAUCCCUUGGCAUCCAGCAAAGAGAGAAAGCAGUACGAUGCAGAGAGCACGUGUAUGGUGACUGGUGAAGGGGGCGAGUAAGUCACCAGAAUGACAUUAGUCAGUGUAAUGAAGGCCAGGUAGCGGGAGCCAGAAGAGAAAGGGCUAUAGAAAAUGGGACACACACCAAUUACUUACAAUACAAAAACCGCCAAAAUAGAAUAAAAAAAUUAAAGAAAUCGUCAUCGGGCGAACGCUGGUUUCCGAUGGAUGGUGACCAGCGGCUGCGAUGCUCUACCGACAGGGCCCUCCCCACGCGCUUCAAUCUGUCAGUGCAGCAGCAGAGGGUGGGCGAGAACCACGCUGUAAAGAAAAUAAUUUAUGCGAUGUCAGGGAAAUCAGGGGGUGAGUGAGGUGGGGGGGGGGAGCUCCCUUUGCUGGACUAAGCCUUCGUCUCUGACACCGUGGUCCCUGACGGGAGAAUGACGGAAGACACUCACUCCCCUGCACCAGGGGUUCGGAUUGUGCGUUGGUCUCUAACAAAAACUGGUAAUCUACGCACACCCUCCACUAGCUAAACAUAGCUACCUCCACAUAGGAAAUUGGAAAGAGGGUUUAGGUUGCGCAAGGUGCGUGUGUUCGUGCAAAGGGUGUGUGUGUCUGCUGCACCCUUCCUGCCCACAUGUUCUCUCACUCGCUCACCCUGAAUCUCUUCCUUCCCCUUCGAUCGAUCCUUGCCCAUCUCCUUCCAUCCCCUUCCCCUUCUCUCGCUUCCCGCUGCUGUCUCGUCCUGGCUCUGUCCUUCCUUGGUGGCGAUUAAUUAGUGGCCUGCAGGGUCAAAGUGGGGGGGGGUCGCAGACUGGCGGGUAUACCGGUGCUCAUUAAUUGAAUAUAUUCAUUGGAAAGGUCCGUAGAAUGAUACAAUAUCGCAGGGUGCUGCUCAAUUUAGGAUGGUCAUGCAGCCAGCAGCAGCAGCAGCAGCAGCAGGCUCCCUCCAUUUAAAGUCAAUAGGCGCUGGACAUGCGGAGUGUUUCUAUCUCUGUCUAUGAUCCGGCACAAGGUUCCUCCUCCUCAAUCAAUCAAUCAAUCAUCAUCAUCAUCAUAAUACCAGUAACAAUAGCAGCAAUGUUUUCGGUAGUGUGCGAGGGAGAGAGAGAGCCAUUGUUUCGGAAGGCGCCUCUUCUUCUCUUCUCCGCGCUGAAGUUUCAUUCCACUGGGGUCGAUCUCCUCGGCUCUGCAUCUUCUUCCCUUCCCCUCUUCCGUCCAACGUCCGUCCGACGUCCGUCGCUCCACAUCUUCGUCGUCGUGCAAAUCCCAUGCCAAUGGCGCACAAGUGUCUCUCACUUUUAUAUAAGGGUUUCUCUUUGUUGAACUACAAAUUCAAUUAUAUAUAUAUAUAUAUAUAUAUAUAUAUAUAUAUAAAAAUAGAGAGAGAGAGAGAGAGAGAGAGAUAUAGAUAUGUAAAUGUAUAGAGAGAGAGAUAUAUAGAUAUGUAAAUGUAUAGAGAGAGAGAUAUAUACAGUCCCAAGUUUUUAUUAAAUCAACUUACCCAUGAUGAAGAAUAUGGUAAUUGGGAUGAAUGUGGUUGAUUUUCAUUGGUUUUGGAUCUAGCAAUGGAGAAAUGAAUCUAGAGUUUCUUUUUUGUCUUUUUUUCAUUUCAUUUCAUGAUGGUUAGGAUGGGUGGGUCAAUUUAAUAAAAACCUAUAUCUAUUUAACAUUCCCCUAUGUGUAUAUACAUAUAUAUAUAUAUAUAUAUAUAUAUGGACGAUCGUAUCCAAAUUAAGAAUCAAAUUCUUGAAAACUUGGAUUUAUGGUAAAUAUUUACAAAUUUGCCAAAGGAAGCUGUGAAACUUGUUGGUUUAUUGGUUUAUGAGCAUAUGCUCACACAAAAAUAUUAGAGCAUAAUUGAUGAGUACUAUUACAAAGGUAAUAUGAUUUUUUUUCCCAGAUGACCAAAACUAUUUAAAGUAUUGUUCACAAGAUAAAAUGUUUUCAACAUGUUCAUCAAAAACAUAAUUGUUUUUAUACAUCAAAACUUAAAUGUGUACUUGUUGUGGAUUGUACCCACAAAAAAUAUAUAAAGUGAAGUCCAUGUAUGAUGCUUCAUAGGGCUUUUUAGCCAUUUUGUUCCUCUAAAUGAAGAGGACCAUUCAUUGUUUAUUUUAAUUACACAUGCUAAUUUGUGCAUUCCAUUUUUAUGUCCUAUAAAAUUCAUAAAUUGGUUAUGUUUAUUGCAUGCAUGCAUACAUACAUACUAUUAUGAUUGAUUUGAUUAAUUUAUUUUGAUUAAUGAACAUGGACAUAAUGAACUUGAUUACAAUGUCAACCAUGGACUUUUUCUAAUAAGAAAAAUUCAAAUGUUUGUGAUGGAGAAAAGAAAACGCAAGAAAAGAAAAGUCCAUGUUUAUAAAUGUCAUGACAAAAGAAGAAGAAGAAGAAGAAGAAGAAGUUUAUAUAUAUAUAUAUAUAUAUAUGCACACGUAUUCAUAAGUUUUCACAAGUUAUAUACAUACUUAAAAAUAAAAAAUGAAUAAUCAAAGACCAUUUUCAGAACACUUAAAAUAAAGUCUUAAAAACCCUACUGUUUAACAAUUAAGUCAACUUAAACUUAAAAAAUAAAAGAAAGAUGCUGGACACGAAAAUUAAUCAGUAGUUCUAUUUUAAACAUUGAACAAGGAAAGCAUUGAAUGUAGCAGAUUCCUGAGAAAUUAAAAUAAUAAAAGAGAGCUUUAAGUAGUAAGCGGCCCAUCUGUGCAGCACACUACAUAGUAUGCUCAAGUCAACUAAUAUAAUUUUACUUGCCACCAUGAACUAACGUGGACCAGAUUUUAAGUUAAAAUCAAGUGGCGCAUGGUUUUCCAUCUACUUUAUUCUAUAAAUGUCCUAUUUUUAUAAAACCAUUUUUCGAUGAAAAAUGCUGUUAACGUUUCUUAUUCGUUGAAUAUAAAAUUCCACUCAGGAGAUGGAAAAACUUGGUCCUGAAAAAGAGGGCAGUAUUUUGGCAACCCACACAAUAAUAACAACAAUAAUGUAAACAAAUCACAAAAAAUAUCAUAAAAAUGUAUAAUUGUGCGUGUGUGUGUGUGUGCGUGUGCUGGUAUACAGUAUCACGUAUCGCAUGGCCGUGAAAGGCCGAAGGCGGAGAUGGUGAUGAAUGAGCGAUGACGGUGUCGCAGUGUAUUUUAUUGUUUUUUUAUAGUUUUUUUCUUCUGGUUGAGCGUGCGGUAACGGGUCAGCGGAUCCCGCAGCGAUGGCGUGGACGGGGGAAGAGGAGGAGGAGGAGGAGGACGAAUCGUUGCGAGGAUUGUUCAGUUAAUCCCUUCGGAAUCCCAGCCCCGUAUCUCCCCUUACAGUCCAAAUCAGAAGCUUAAGAAAGAAAGCGUAAGUGGGUAGUCGCUCAAGCGAAAGAAUCCGAGCUCAGGAUUUGAGUUGAUGUUGAUUCAUGUUAAGCUUGUGUGGAUGCAAGUUGCACGAUCCAGGGAGAGGGAGAAACGGGAGAAAGUGAGAGCGAGAGGAAGUUGACUACCAGCAAUUCAUCUUGUUUAUUUCAUUUCCGGAAUACCGUGGCGAUGUUCACGCAUUUCCUCACGUUGUUGGAUGCGAGCCUACACCGAUUGGCAAAUUGUCAGAGAGGCGAUAUAGUAGCCCUGGAGUAAAGGGUUCCAUCAGGAAUGAUCAGUGAGAGUCGAAGUGGCUGUAUCCCAAUUGAUGAAAGUGUGCCAGAACAAUGCUGCAUCCCUGGUCGAAGCGAGACACAGCAUGUGAGUGACAGCCCCUCGGGGAAGAUGUUAAUAGCCUGAAUCGCACGUCGGUUCGUCCGAAACUGGGACGGCUCCGGAACUGGAGAGCCAGCAGCCAAGUGAACUAAAUAAAAAUUAAUCGGUACCCGAGACGGUAAAUGUGACAAUAUGCAUAUAUUAGGAAUCGGAAUAAUGGUGUUGAAAGGCGCGUUGGGGUAAAAUAGAAGAAGUACUGUUACCCUCGUCGUCGCAUGGACACGAUCUAGAUUGGGGAAGGACUCUUUGGACCAAUUGAUCUCAUCUACGGAGUCGCCUCAUCAAGGACAUGUAUUUUCAUCGUUUAGGUUAGACUGAAUGUGUCAACUCUCUUCAGAAGGGUAUCCCCCUGCAUGAAUCAGCGACGUGUCUAUAAAUGACAGAAUGGGUUGACCAUUGACCCUAAAAUUGGAAUUUUAAAAGCGUUUGCAUGCUUUGAGCUGGUAGGGUCACAAGCAUUUACUUCUGAAACAGCAGACUUUAUAGCACGCAAGGGUGCUGUCAUACUCUUGCAUGCAUCCAAGUUUCCCCAGAUUACCAUUUCAUUUUAUUUUUCAUAAUUUUGUUGGUAUGCGCGAUUUGAUCGGCACUGUAGUAAGCGAGAACAAAAAUGUGGCACUCACUCACACAUUUUAUUCCAUAAGUUCGUAUCAAUCAUUUUGAUGAAAAUAUCCGAACUGCAAAAUACGUGUACGUAUAACUUACUGAUUGGGUUGCAUUGGAUGUUGAAUGUAUUGAUUGAUGCCUUGGAUUGUUCACUAGAUAUAGUGGAGGUCUAGACCACUACGUCCAAUCCUGUCGCUGUUGCUUUGGAUCCCCGUUGCUUUCGACUCCGGCUUUCACCGUGCAAGGGAAACGGGGAGGGAAUCCUUAGAUUUGCAUAUUAAUGUGGAAAGGUGUAUUUUUAUUUUUAUUUCUUUUCAAAAUUUUCAAUUGGUCAUGGAAUUAGUGAGUAAUUCCAAGGGAGAGAGAGAGAGAGAGAGAGAGAGAGAGAGUGUGUGUGUGUGUGUGUGAAGGAUGGACUCGCGCAGAAUGCUUAAACUUUUUCGAUGUAUCCACUGCAGAGAUUCAUCCUCUUUUUUUUUUUUUUUUUUUUUUUUUGUUUGUUUUUUUUGUUCAUGCUGUUUUAUUCCAGUGAAUUUGUUCAGUUUGUGUUUCGUGUUCAUGAGCCGAUUGCUCUCUGUCUGAUUAAGAACGUUUCUCCUAAGCUUGUCGGGAAGCAGGCCAUAACUUCUGCCGUUCUGUAUGAUUGGGGAUUUCACCAGCAACGACGCGCGAAUUGGAUAUGGCAGAGCGGGAAGGUGGAGUGGAGGGGAAACAUGCCGCAAGGAUUACAAGGGCAUGAAGUACAAUGCCUUCAGGAAGGCCAUGAUUUCUUCCCUACGUUGAGAGGAGGUGUGCUCUCUUCUCUACCAUCCGUGCAGUACAGCUCGGCCAACGCACGGCACCCUACUGGGGACUCCAUGAUUGGAGUGAGACAGGCUAGUGCACAUGCCUCCCCUGCCCCAUACCCACCGCCCCUCGUCGUCCUCAUCUUCCUUACCCAGCUCAAAUUUACAGACAGACAUACAGACGCACUCAGUCCAGAUAUGAAGAGAAAGAGAGAUAAUGAGAGGAAAAAAAAGACAUCAAAAGAAAACACUCAUUCGAUUUAAAUAUACACCGAGGCGACUCCUCACUCAAGGAAUUUACUGCAGGAAUUGGUGACAAUGCCCCCCAACUCGACCACCAGCCGGAUUGAGCAGAGCUGCUGCUGCUGCUGCUGCUGCUGCUGGUUGCCUGACUGCAGCACCUUGCAAGCUUACUUGAGUGUGGAACAUUCAAUCAUUUUCAUGACAAAUGGCUCUGCAACAUGGGCAUUUGUCAGUUUUUAUCACCUCCAUCAGUCCGCUCAAGCAAGUCCAAUCAUAGAGUCUCCAGUUGGGACUCCAUGAUUGGAGUAGGCAGAGACGCACAUGGCUAGUAGGGCUUCCCCGAUUAUUUCAGCACUGCAACCGUUUAACCUCUCAACAUUUAUAUACAUACCAGUGUGUACAUUCCGGAUAGUGUGUAUAGCUGGAGGGUCCCGAAUUGCCAAUUGGUGCAUACCUGCCUCUCUCUCCUGGACGGUAAAUACUCAUCCCUCACUUUUGGCUGACAAUCAAAAGUGGCCUUGGUGGGCACUUGAGCGCUACCAGAGCGGGUCUGCUCAGCUGCACCGAUCACUCAAGGCUGGCUACUGGGAUAUUUAUUUGUCCAGUGAAAAGCAGAGCAUGGAAACUCCGUCGGAACCGAUCCUGUUUGAAAAAUAGGUUCCUGCAGCAGCACACUGUGGGGCCGAGGAGACGUGACCUUUUGCUAACCAAGAUUACGAAUCGUAGGCUUUUAUGUGUGGAAGUGUUGCAAAUAAUCGGGGCAUGUGGGCAAGGGGAGCAGGUGUUUUUUGGGGCCGUCCAAAUUCCUCAACUCCACUGACCGUAGGUGGUGACGGGGGUGGUCUCUGAGUCGGCAACUGCACGACCUGCGAGGUCCGGCCCCCUUCCAGAAGCUCUGUCUCUAUCUGUAUGCUCUGUGGGAGUUAUGUGCUAACGAUCAGAAUUUGCUUUGGCAAGCAAAACCAGCUGUCAGAGGUCGAAUAAGGCACGGGCAAGCUUAUUCGUCAGCGCCGUUAGGUGCAAGGAAAAUGGAAUAAUCGUUUGCUUGGAACUCGAUCCUUCAGGAAAGUAAUGGACGUUAUCUUGUGUGGUACUGAUCUGUACUCAAUGAGUUCCUCUGGUGAAGUACAUUAUUGAGCGAGAAAAGACAACAUCCUCGCCAGCGAUGGUCUUGUGACGAGAAUCGAGCCUCCUGUUGUACAAACCCCUCUGCACCAGUCGCGACACUCUGCCAUGACUUCGUCAAGGAAACUCAGCCCAUAUGGGCAUCAUACUCGGCAGCGAAUUCACAGACAGAAUGCGUUGGGCACUGGGUCUAGCUUGCAAAACAAUUGUCUUGUACAUAACAUCAUCGCCAAAGCCUGCUCGGGGCCAUCGCCAGGACUUGGAUCCAACCCACCCACCGAACUACUACUGCUACUACUACUACUACCUCUCUCUCUCGGUCAUGAUCGACACACCUGGACAGACAGACUUCAUAUCCCCGUCCUGACCUGAACUUACAGAGGUAGGCACAGUGAGGUCAUCUCUCCUUUGUUUGUUUAUUUUAUUUAUUUACUUUUCUCCAACACACACUUACACACACACACACUCUCGCACGGAUCCCUCCUCCUCCGCUGGCUGUGGGCUUUUUGCCAGCACAAUGGAGGAGCCCAAUUCGGUGACUGGGUACUUGAACCUUCUUCUCCCUGUUGUUGUUCAGGUCAAUCAAAAUUCUCCUUACAGUACUUCUUCCCAACCUGCUCCAGAUCAUGCAGCUCUGUCCAUGCCCCUUUACCAGCAAUGAAAGGCAUUCGAGCUCAGACUCGGUCAGGUAUUGCCAACAAUGAUCGCAAGCUCUACCCAGUACCACAGAAACAAAGAGAAACAAAGAGAGAAGAAGAGAAUAAGAGAAACACUGAUUAAUA
rnacentral:lncRNA from 1 species